AUCCACCCCGCCCCCAAAACAAUCGCGCCCGUGAGUCGUGGCUGCUGCUACCAAUCUGCCCAGCAGAGCCGGCUCUCGACACGCUCGCUCGCGCCGCGUUCGUUGCAUGCGCCGGGCCGCCGCCGCCACCAGCAGGGUCAGGAUCCACAUGGCGGCGGAGGAGGUCAGGCAGGCGUCCGCGGCCGCCACGGCGGCCGAGGCGUUGCCGGCCCCCGCGGGCUCCCGCUGGGCGCGGGCCUGGCCGGCCGCGCUGCGCUGGAUCCCCACCUCCACCGACCGCAUCAUCGCCGCCGAGAAGCGCCUCCUCUCCGUCCUCAAGUCAGUGCCCCCAUAUCCCCUACCCCUGUUCCUCUCCUCGGACCACGAUUACUUGUUUUCGUCCACGAUUACCACUUGUACCAUCUGCACGAUUAGUUGUUCCGCCUCUUCACUCCGCCAUCCCACGAUCCGUAACAGCUGAUUGACCUCCUCAUAGGGCCCAAUUUUGGGGUUGCUGGACGACUUGUAGGGCUGUAAUCCGCUCAUCCCCCCACCACGGUUCACUGGUUUCCGAGCGUCGGGCGAGGGCGAGUGCCAAAGCUGUCUGCUUGUGCUCAAAACCAUCCAGCCGGAUACUGAUUCUGCAGCCAAUUCUGAUGUUGAAGUUGCUACCUUCAUUGAUAGGACUAUAUCAGAGCAGUGUGUCACUUUGGGAUCACUAAGCCUGGNNNNNNNNNNNNNNNNNNNNNNNNNNNNNNNNNNNNNNNNNNNNNNNNNNNNNNNNNNNNNNNNNNNNNNNNNNNNNNNNNNNNNNNNNNNNNNNNNNNNUGAUUUAUUGCCACCAUUUGAGUACCCAUUGCUAUCAACUGCAAGCUUGUCGGCACAAUUGUCUGCAUGAAAAAUAAGUAAUAAAAGUUAAGCAUGGCAUAGUAACCGGUGCGAUAAUUUUCUAGCACCAGUAGAAAUGCAGAAUAGAAGGCAGUAAACUGGAGUAAAACGAUCCACUACUCCAAGGCUAUCAAGUACGAGCAACGAUCAAGCAAAGAGAGAGGAUUUCCAUAAUCAGCAAUUAUACUGAUUGCCAAGGAAGCAUUUCCCCAAACAGCUUUCGUCCAUUUUAUCAAACGCAUGUCUCUAGCAGGGUGCAAGAACCUCACAUUGAGAACAGAGUACACAGCGUCCGCAACGUCGUCCGCCUCAUCCGUGAUCCGGUGCGCGAUGUCUCCUGGGGCCAUCCCUUCUCUGCCAUCGAAAAACGCGAGGUCACGCGCGAGCAAACGCUCGAAGGCGCGCCCCCGCAGGCGCGCCACCGCCCGCAGCGCCGCCUCCCAGAGCAACGCCUGCUGCACGUACGCCGCGGCCGCGCGCGCGGAGGCGAGAGCCGCGAGCGCGACGACGCCUCUCGAAACCUCCGCCGACACGCCCCCGCCCGCGCCGGCGGCCAGAGCGCGAGGAAGGCGCCCCGCGGCGGGCACCGUGCGCGAGAGGCAGUACACGGCGGCGGCGGCGCACGCCCACCCYUYGCGAUGGCCCGCCACUCCGCGGCRACGUAGGGGAGCACAUCUNNNNNNNNNNNNNNNNNNNNNNNNNNNNNNNNNNNNNNNNNNNNNNNNNNNNNNNNNNNNNNNNNNNNNNNNNNNNNNNNNNNNNNNNNNNNNNNNNNNNACUAUAGGGCGAAUUCCACAUCAUCAUCUUUUCUUCUCACGCAUCUUCAGUCUGAGGUGUUUCGACACCAAUCGGAUCUGAAUCUCGGGCAGAAAUGAUGGUUGGGACAUUUCCCAAUAAUUAUAACCUUGGCCUUUAUGUAACCGGUACGGUGAUGUCUUGUUUUUCACACCGGGCCGAAGGACCUAUUGUUAUAAACUCUCCCAUAUGUAAGAUUCGCCAUCCUUUCAUGUGGAAACUAUAUGACUUAUUUCAUAAGUUGACCCUCAUGAAUCCUCUUUGUGUGCCCAUUGGUCUGACCUUUAUCGGAUGACCGUGUCGAUGCUACCUUGAAGCAUGGAUGUGGCAUUUCAAAUGUCAAUAGGAACAUUGGAAGCGUAAGGCUAAAUUGUUCCUGAUCAAUUAUCCAGACCACGUGGUAUGGGUAAACAUCUUGAUUUUUCUUGCCUCUUUAUCAAAAUGGUUAUGUACUUGAUGACCUAUCUUGUAUACCAUACCCUAUGUUUUCCUCGGGAAUGGUAUAUUUUAAACUCUUGUGUGUGUGUGCACACAUUCUCAUUCUCAUUAAUCUGUUUGACCUUUCUUGUGGCAUAACUUAUCUAAGCAGUGUUAAUUUCCUGCUUAGGUAAAGAUCUCGGUAUACAACUCUAUCGGUAAGACCCCGUUAGUAUUGUUGGUAACAUUCCGGUAACCGCCGGUGGACGAGAACCUUGCCUAUUGGUCUGCCUCGUUUCAACGAGCAGGAAAAUGGUUCUAUUCGUCCCCCGCACUUGGUACUGACGUUGUUGCCAACAUAACUGACAGGUUAUCCUCUGACAUGUCUUGCUACCAAGACCAUAUAAUAUGUCACCCCUCUACCUACUCCCGGCCCACAUGGUGGACCCAUAACCCAAAGUUCCACAGGAUUGAAACCUGGCUCUCCUGUACAUCUUUGACUCCAAAGUAUCCUUUGCACUUGGCUCAUAUGGAAUUCCCGAUCCACCGUUCAAUGGAUUGAUCACUCCUUCGUCUAGAUGUUAUCCAACAUGCUAAAGAUCAAGUUCGCAUUAAUUACGACAAUCUGAAGGCUGCUCAGUCUCGUUAGAAAAGUCAGUAUGACCGUCAUCAUCAGGAUAUGGUCUAUCAACUUGGCGAAAAGACAUACCUUUGCAUCACACCGAUGAGAGGCGCACACCAUUUUGUAAUCAAGGGCAAGUUAGCUCCUCGCUAUAUUGGUCCUUUCACUGUUCUUGAAAGGCGUGGAAGAGUGGCUUAUCAAUUGGAAGUGUCGGCGAACCUUUCUCAGGUUCUCGAUGUCUUCCAUGUUUCUCAGCUCCGCCGCUGCUUCAAGGGUCCUAUUCGAGCAGUGGAUCAUGGUAUGCUUGAGCUGCAACAAGACCUCUCUUAUAAAGAGCAUCCGGUCCGCAUUCUCGACCAAGUUGAACGUAAAACUCGUCGCAAAGUCACCAAGUUUCUUAAAGUGCACUGGUCAAAUCAUUCUGAAGGUGAGGCCACUUGGGAACACGAGGAUCAUCUUCGUGAUGAAUACCCCGGGCUCUUUCCUUCUACCUCUUAAUUCUCGGGACAAGAAUUUUUGUUAGUAGGGGAGAAUUGUGACAUCCUCGACUUUUCCUACAGUAAUGAUUGUAAUUAAGCGACAGUGAUCCCGCGCUAAUGAUGCCACAUCAUCGCAAGUGAUAUCAAUGAUCUCGUGUUGGUUGAAACCGAAUCAAAUUUGAAGCAUUAAAAUAAAGUCAGACGAGAAAAUAUUUUAUGUUGUUGAAAUAAAAACGUUGGGGAGAUAUAAAAAUUCCCUAACGGAUUAUAAUAUCGAAUCAGACACUUUUAGAAUUAUUGAUAAUCCCAAUAUAUUUGAAAGUGGAGCUUUAAAUCAAAUAAAUAAAAGGCAUGCAAAACAUCCCAAGUUUGACAAGAUAAUAGCAUGAAACCACCAAAAAUUAUAGAUACGUUGGAGNCGGUGAGCCCCUCCUCGGGCUCCUCCCACCAUCUUGUUCUCCUCGCCGUCCCGGUUCCGUUCCGGCAAACGGGGCUUCGAUCCGUCGACGGUAGAGACCGGUAGGUAGGAUUGAAGAUUUUGUUCUUCUAUGUUGAGUUAGCUGAGAGAACUCUUUGCUGUGUGUUAACAGAGAGAGUUGGGAGAGAUGAGAGUUAGAAAAAAAUAGAAUAAGUGAUGUAUUAGAUGCGUAUGUAUUUUGUAUGUAUGAGAUGCACGAUGUAUGUAUUUGCGUAUAUAGGUAUAUGAAGAAUACGAUAUUUGUAUGGUUUUGUAUCUGUGAGUAAAAACAUGUUUUUGGCCUAAAGCUACUUACCGGUGGGGCCAACGCACCCCGUUGUCUAUAACAGGGAGGCCCCACACCCCUUUUAAAGAAAAAAAAAGUUUUUAUUAAGUAAAUAAAUAGAUAUAUUAUUUAAUUAAUUAAUUUGGUAAUUAGAAUAAUGAGAGUAUGACACAUGGGUCCCUCACUAAAUUAAUCUGAUUAAUUAAUAUUUUAGUCUUAAUUAAAACUUGUGCCUAUGACGUUCGGGACCCGCUGGUCAGUUGACCAGUCAACUGUUGAUGUCAGCAUGACAUCAUGCUGAUGUCAUAAUAGUUUUUUAUUAAAUUAUUUAAAUCUGUUUUUAAUUCCUAAUUAUUGAAUAAACCUUUAAAAAUUAAUAUAAAAUAAUCCGUAAGUCAGAUCAAAAUAUUUUCAACAUGAAAGUUAAUCAGCAGAACGAGACGAACCUGGAUACACGGUCCUUUCGUCUGUCACGCGUCCCUAGCAUAGCAAACAUGGAACAUUUCUAUCGUUUCCAGUAUGACCGGUAGUAGCCCGAGACCCGGAAAAUAUCGUCAGAUAUUCUUCCGACCCGUCUAUGACGGAUGUUGCUGUGUUAGCUCAUGUCUUGCCUACAUCUUGCCAUGUCAAGCUUUGUGUUGCACCGUUGCUAUUAUUUAUUGUUUCAUCCCCCUCUUCUUACCUGUAGACCCCAAGACUGACGAUGUUGCCGGGUACAUCUACGACCCUGCCGAUCAGUCCUUUGUCGCAGAGCAGCAAGGCAAGCAAACCCCCCCCCCCUUGAUCAUUCCUAUAUCGCCUAUGUCUUUCUUCCUAAUGCUUGCAUUAGUAUUUUGCUACUGUUGUAGUUAGCUCCUAUAUCUGAUGCAUAGCCUAUUUUUGAUGAACUGCUACUUUCAGUCCUGUACUUUAAAUCUUCUUAGUAUAGGUGGAGCAGUCAUCCCCUCUGACCCCGUAGUUCAGUUGCCCCGCUUGUUUUCAAAUCUCGAUCUCUGAUCGACGAGCCAAACCCGACACAGCACAUACACCCCCCUUAGUUGUACGACGCUACAGAGAUACUAUCGGGUACCGAGGGUGACACCUCGCUAAGUACUCCAGAUGAUAUAUCUGUAGUAUAGCUAGUCGGUCGUGGUUAUCGAGGGUGAUUCCUCUUUCACCAUUCCCGACGAUGCCUCUGUCGUGCAACGGAUCCGAUACCAAAUACGUUGUGGAGUCGUGUUCUCCACGGAGGUUUGAGGGUUCUUGGGAUGGGUUCUAUGUUGCUGCCCAUUCAUUUCCUAUUAAUAAGGAGAUAUGUAAAGCCAGUCAUUCUAUUAAAGAGAACUUCCAGUGGCAGAUUUUAGAUGGUAAUUCGGUGCGAUUGUUAGGUGUGGGACCCUCGAAGGUGAUUCCUCUAAGCCCACCUUGACGGGUACAUCGUUCCGAAUCCAACGAGGGUGAUACCUUGGAUUCCCCCCAAUGUUACAACCACACAGUUACUCGACCAUGUUACUGGGAUCUUUGGUGAUUAGUUGUAAGACGGGUGGAUUCCCGUGAGACUGUGUUGUUGGCCUAAUUAAAAUGUUAAUGGAUUUGGGUAUUUGAUCUGGGUUGGUCGGAGACCUUUUCGCACUAACCGGCUACGUGGGAAGAAUUAUGGGUACUCGGCAUCGCGGUAUCAGCCGAAGCUUUUUAGAUGCCAGCAAUGUAGCAGCGCGCGCCCGAGUGGUCCCGAGAUGCAUCGCUAUUGUGAUUAAGGGAUGCUAGGACUGACGUCGGCCGCCCACACCACAUGCAGGAGCGCGAAGGGGAACUGGGCCCACGAACCCUUUGUGCUUAGGUGUUAGACCGGCGGGCUGGCCUCUCUGAUUAGUCUUAGGUGGGGCUGCGACGUGUCGAUAUUCCGAGGCCGGGCAGGACCCAGAAAGUAUGUCCGGCCAGAGUGUUAUCGAGCGUGAUGGGACAUGUGGUGCACCCCUGCAGGGAUGAAAAUUAACUAUUCGGAUAGCCGUGUCCACGGUUACAGGACGACUUGGAGUUGUGCCCCGAUCUUAUACAACUACAAUGGUUACUUAACUGGAAUUAGUUUGCCUCGGGAUUGCUUCCUUGCAGGGAGUUGAGGGAGGAUCUUUAGGCGUGACCUCACUUUAAUAUUGCUGCAACAAUAUGACUAUUAAUGUUUUACCCCUGUUCUACUCUCGUCUAUUGCUGCAAGACCCUGAAGAUGCUAGUCUUCGAUAGGACUACGCCUUCUCUCUAUUCUUGCGUUGCUGCAGUUAGUCCACAUAUAAAACCCCUUCUUUGAUACUGGUGCAUAUUUAGCAUAGUUCUGAUGUAAGACUUGCGAGUACUUUGGAUGAGUACUCACUGUUGCUUUGCUCCCCCUUGUUCCCUUGAUACGUUGCUGCGACCAGAUGAUGGAGCCCAGGAGUGGAGUUUCCUGCCGAUGUCUGUCAUCCCGAUGGUGUCAUCUUCGUGGAGGCCGCUGAAGCCUAGGAGUAGUUUAGGAGGUUCCCAGGCAGGAGGCCUCGCCUCGUUUGAUCGUGUUUCUUUUGUGCUAGCCUUCUCUAAGGCACCCCAUGUUUUAUGUCUGUACUCAUAUAUUGUUGCUUCCGCUGACUCGUGUGUUUAUCGAGCUUCUGUAUUCUAUCCCUCGAGGCCCCUGGCUUGUAAUAUGAAGCUUGUAUUAUUUUAUUUGUGUCUAGAGUUGUGUUGUGAUAUCUUCCCGUGAGUCCUUGGGUUUGAUCGUACGCAUUUGCGUGUAUGAUUAGCGUACGAUUAAAACGAGGGCGUCACAGUUCCAGAGUUGUGCAGAUUCGAGAAUUUACACAAUUGAGGAAUCUCAUGAAGAAUUUGAGUGGCUUAGUGAAAUUCAUCAAGUGCUUGAGGAAUGAGUGUACAAGGCUAACAGACAUACUGAGGAAAAACAGAUUGCGUGAGUCUAAAGAGAAAUAAUAGAUCAAUAGACGUAGUAAAAUAGGAUUUUAAUUACCCUGAUUGAAGAACACGAAGAACUGAGGCAUUAAAAGAUAGAAGCUCUUCGGUUCAAAUCUUCCGCAUCCUAACUUGGCGACAGAGAUCAGCUACGGCGAUGGCGGAGAAAGAGAUUAUGCGUCGGCGUGAGUUCGGCGACGGCGAGGGCGAGGCAGCAAAGCUUUUCCUCACCGGCGACGAUAUUGCUAGCGGUGGCGUUAGGGUUGAGCUCGAGCGGAGAAGACGAGAGAGUUUUGACUAGGGGGGUAAGGGCCUAUUUAUAGCUCAAGUGAAAAACUGUUCGGCCGAAACUUUCGGACCGAACUGCCCUUGCCCAUUCGUCUUGGCAUGACACAUGGAACCCACGACUCAGGCGGUGGAGUUCGUGGUUAUCCGAUCGUGAGAACUGGGUCCAGUUACUGUGUAACGUUAUAAAAAUGAUUUUUGAAUCUUUGAGGAUUUCGUUACAAACUCCUCAGCUGACAAGGACACAGUGGGGACUUUGAACAAGUGUCAAGUAGAACGCAUAUGAAGAAAUGAAUAGACUGGGUUGAGCUUAGCAUAGAGGGGAGUCGGGUCUGAUCACAUUCACUUAGAUGAAAUAUCAAAUUCAAGACUGAGCUAUAAGUGAAUGUUGUUGAGGACUUUGAAAUCUCAGUCUAUACAUAUAGAUAUAUCCAAAUGAAAAUCAUCAAACGUUUUGAAGAAUUUGAAUAUUUUGAAAAACUUCAGGAUUUUCUGACAAAGUGUCACAUUUGAAUUUCAACUUUGAUGAAAAACAGCUUGAAGAAUUUCAAAGUUUGGUGGUGGCGUGACCCACCGUAUAAGAAUGAUGAUUUCAAGCGCCGCGUACAAUUGUCAAAGGACCCUGAGAACCAAAGAGUGUUAUUCUUCAUUGAUUGAAGAAAAUCAAUUCUUCACACUAAGAGUGAUAUUCUUCAUUAAUUUCCUCACACUAAGAGUGAUAUUCUUCAUUGAUUGAAGAAAAUCGAUUCUUCAUGUGUUGCACAUCUAAGUCAUCAAUUUUGCAUAAGUGUUAGGAUAUGUGCAUGUUUUCACAAAACAUUUGAAGACUCUAGGAUAUUUAGCUCAGACCGAAACUUGCAAAACCUUCUCUAAUCCAAGGGCUUAGUGAAAAUAUCUGCUAGCUAAUUGUUAGUCUUCACAUGAUCGAUGAUGAUAUUGCCCUUGAGGACAUGGUCCCGAAGAAAAUGAUGACGAAUCUGGAUGUGCUUAGUCUUCGAGUGUUGUACUCGGUUGUAAGCGAUCUUGAUUGCACUCUUAUUGUCGCAGUAGAGGGGCACAUUCUUCAUGUUGAUGUCAUAGUCUCUGAGGGUUUGCUUCAUCCAUGGAAGUUGAGCACAGCAGGAUCCAGCAGCAAUGUACUCAGCUUCGGCAGUGGAGAGAGAAACACGGUUCUGCUUCUUCGAGGACCAGCAGACUAAUGAUCUUCCGAGGAAAUGGAAAGUGACAGAUGUUGACUUGCGAUCCACACGGUCACCAUCAUAAUCAGAAUCAUAAUAUCCAACGAGAUGAAGAUUUGAGCCCUACGGGUACCAUAAUCCUAGUGUUGGUUUGUGGGCUAAGUAUCGAAGAAUAUGCUUCGCAGCCAUAUGGUGUGAUUCCUUUGGUUUUGCUUGAAAACGAGCACACAUGCGAACACUAAGCAUUAUAUCUGGCCUAGAUGCACAUAGAUAAAAUAAAGAGCCAAUCAUCGAGCGAUAUACCUGUUGAUCAAAAUCUUUACCAUUUUCGUCAGUGCAGAGGUGGCUGCUCGUAGGCAUAGGAGUCUUGACGCCUUUGCAUUUAUGCAUGUCGAAUUUCCUCAGAACAUCCUUGAGGUAUUUCUCCUGUGAUAUGAAGAUGCCAUUGCGUUGUUGACGAAUUUGAAGACCUAAGAAGAAUUUGAGCUCCCCCAUCAUGGACAUCUGAUAUUCUUCACUCAUCAUGCAAGCAAAUUCAUCACUGUAACGUUUGUCAGUACAACUAAAGAUAAUGUCAUCGACAUAUAUUUGGCACACAAAUAGUUCAUUAUCAUAGGAUUUUGUGAAAAGAGUUGGAUCGAGUGAACCAGGUUUGAAGCCUUUCUUCAUGAGGAAUUCCUUCAAUGUAUCAUAGCACACCCGAGGGGCUUGCUUGAGGCCAUUGAGUGCCUUUUUUAGUCUGAAGACUUUGUCUGGAUGCUUCGGAUCCUCAAAACCUGAGGGCUGAGCAAAAUAUACUUCUUCCUCAAGCUUACCAUUGAGGAAUGCACUUUUCACAUCCAUUUGAUAUAGAGUAAUGUUAUGAUGAUUAGCAUAAGCAAGUAGUAUUCGAAUAGCUUCAAGUCUAGCAAUAGAUGCAAAAGUUUCAUCGAAAUCAAUUCCUUCAACCUGUGUGUAGCCUUGGGCUACAAGUCGUGCCUUAUUCCUCACCACUUGACCAUCCUCAUCUUGCUUGUUUCAGAAAAUACACUUGGUGCCGAUGAUAUUGUGCUUGCGAGGAUCUCGUCGUUCGGCGAGUUCCCAUACGUCAUUUAGCUUGAAUUGAAUAAGUCCAUCUUGCAUGGCUUGAAUCCACUCAUGUUCCAUGAAAGCUUCAUCAACUUUUGAGGGUUUUGUGAUAGACACAAAAUAGGAAUGCCCACAAAAUUUUUAACUAAAUGUGAAGCUUUUGAGCGAGUGAGAGGACCUGGCGCAUUGAUGUCAUCGAGGAUUUUGUCAAGUUAUACUUCAUUUGCAAUCCUUGGAUGAUCUGGUUGAGGAUUUUGUCUGGGCUGAGGAAUUUGAUCUCGAGCAAUUUCCUCAGGUGCACCUUCUUGAAUUUCAUCAGUGCUGGGGAAGAUUUCUUCAGCAAUUUCCUCAGUAUGAACAAUGUCUUCACUAGCAUUGAACUUGAUAGCUUCCUGAGGAGAUAAUUUGUCUGGCACAGGAGGCAAUUGCUCUCUUUGCGAGCCAUUAGUUUCAUCGAACUGCACAUCUAUAGUUUCAACAACCUUGUUGUGAUAGGUGUUGAAGACUCUGUAGGUGUGCGAGUCCUUUUCGUAACCAAGCAUAAAACCUAGAUGUGCUUUAGGUGCAAAUUUUGAACUAUGGUGAGGAUCUCUAGUCCGGAAUUUUGCACCGAAGACUUUGAAAUAACUUACAUUGGGUUUCUUAUCACUGAGAAGUUCAUAUGAGGUUUUCUUGAGCAAUUUGUGAAGAUAUACCAUGUUGAUGAUGUGGCAAGCAGUGUUGAUUGCUUCAGGCCAGAAGUGACGAGGAGUCUUAUAUUCUUCAAGCAUAGUCUGUGCCAUUUCAACCAGAGUCUUGUUCUUGCGUUCAACGACGUCAUUCUGUUGAGGAAUAUAAGGAGCAGAUAAUUCAUGAGUAAUACCAAGUUCAUCAAGAUGAUCAUCAAGAAUAGUGUUUUAGAAUUCUGCCCCAUUGUCACAACUGAUGUUUUUGAUCUUGACACCGAAGUUCGUCGAGGCCCUUGAGGAAAAUCGUUUGAAGAGUUCCUGCACUUCAGUUUUACACGGCCUACCCAGCUAUCGAGAAUAGUCGUCAACGAUGACAAAGCCAUAUAAGGAUGCUGCAUUUGUUAGCGUAGCAUAAUGAGUAGAUCCAAACAGAUCCAUAUAAGGAUGUUGCGUGUGCAAAUUCCUCAUGCCUUCAUGACCAAGUCUUCGAUGCCAUAGCCAGCCUUCUGAGGUUUUUUCUAGUAAGCAUGUGGCUGAUUGAGGACCUGUGGAAAAAUCAACAAUGUACAAAUCUCCUCUCCUAAAUCCUUCAAAGACCUUGGAUAUGUCAGAUUCCAUGAUGACUACACAUCUAUAUUUUCCAAAGAUAACAACCAUAUCAAGAUCACAAAGCAUUGAGAUUGACAUGAGGUUAAAUCCAAGGGAUUCGGCUAACAUCACUUUGUCCAUGUGUCUGUCCUUGGAAAUAGCCACUUUGCCAAGUCACAAUACCUUGCUUUUACCUUUGUCAGCAUAAGUGAUUUGCUUUAGAGGUGAUGGAGUCAGUGGCAUAUUCAUGAGCAAGCUUUUAUCAUCAGUCAUGUGGUUUGUGCAACCACUGUCAAGAACCCACUCAGUACUCUUGGGUUUGUCAUCCUGCGCAUGAAUUAGUACAGCUUACCAUCUCAUAUGCUUCAGACUUGAAGAAUAUGAUUUCAGUUUCAUGAGAUAGGAAUUUCAUCAUAAACAGUAAAUUUGAGGACGUGUGAAAUGUUAUCAUUCAUCAAUUUUAGCUUACGUCCAAUCAAGCAUUUUCCUCAAGUCUCCAGCAAAUUCUUCAUAUGAUGAUUUUCAUCUGGAGAUCUCACGUGCAGAAGUGAUUAGUUCAAUUUCUUCACCCCCACAUCGAAGGGGUGGCAAAGAGUUCAUCAUCCUGCGAGCACCAUAUGAGAAAGGGGGCACUGAAGCUAAUGCACUUCAUUUCACAAUAGGGGGGUUAGAGUACUCAAAUGAAUAGGCAGAGAAGUUCUUUGAGGAUUUAUGAACAUAAUGAUAUUAGAAUAAUGCUCAUAUUCAUAUCCCUUGUAAUUUCCGUGCAUAUCAGAAGCAUUAGCACGAGUACGAGCAUAGUUUUGACCAGUUGAAGAUUUUGAUCCUCUUGAAGACCUUGGUAUUCCGGAGGAAUUUGAUCUGGGGUUCAGGUUCUUCACAUGUGGUGUCAUGAGGACAUUCACCUGAAGAUUUUCCAAGCAACUUUUGGGAAUCCAAAUUUUCCUCAGGGGUGGUCCAUUCCCGCAGUUAGUUCCAACAUAUCGAGAAAAUACUUCGCCAGAUUGAUUUUUGAACAAUUUAUAUUUGGAGUCAAAUGACUCAUCUUAGGAAUAGGAUAAUUCACAUGCAAAGCCUAUAAGAGUAGAUGGGUCAACAGAGGGUCUUUUAGUAGGAACCCAUGAGGUUUUGGGGUACUGCUUAGGUUUCCAAUAUGAUCCAUCAGCAUUCAAUUUUCUCUCGAAGGAAAUUCCUUCUUUCCUCGGAUGCCUGUUCAAAAUCUGCUUUUUGAGCACAUCGCAAAGGGUUUUGUAACAAUAGAAGCAUUUGAGACUUUUGUACAUGUCUGUCACAUACAAUUCCUUCACCCCUGCAUUUUCGUGAGUAACAUUUGUGGUUUCGUCAAGUGAUGAAUUUGAUACCACAGGAGCAGUUGAAGAAUUUGCAACAAUAGAAGCAUUUGAUAUUUCUGGUGAAGAAUUGGCAGUUUGACGCUCGAUGCAUUUGAGACAUGGUGAAGUGGAUUCAACCUGAGCGGCACUCAUCUGUUGAGCAAGCAAUGAAUCGUUUUCCAUUCGGAGAUCAUCAUGAGACAUCUUCAACUUCUCAAGAUCAAGUUUCCUUUGAAGAAAUUCAAAGGAAAGUUUCUCAUGAUCACAGAAAGUGUGCCAUAACGAUCUUGAAGACUAUCAAAUCUAGAUUGAACACUUUUCACAUCUUGAGUGAGGAUUUGAGUAUGAUUCAUUUCAUCAUUCAACAGACCAUCGCUUCUGUCUAGCAGUUUUUGAAGCUUUUCAAUGCCACUUUUUUGUUUAGUUGCAACGUUGGCAAGUUUACUAUAGCUGGGUUUUUUAUAAUCAUCAGGUUCACAGCCACUUGAAUCAUAGGAGGAAGUGCCAUUCGGUACCUCUGAAACUUUUGCCAUGAAGCAAUAGGUUGGAGCGAAGUCAUCAGCAUAGUCAUCGGUGUAGAUAGCGUUGUCAUUUUAUUCAAGGUAGAAGAUUGACUUGCUGACGAAUGUGGUUGCUAGCGCAAAACUUGACAAACCAAACUCUGCGUCUUCUUCAGAACCUUCCUCUUCAUCACAUUCCUCAGAUUCUUCCUAGAAUCCAUUUCCUUGCCAAUGUGUGCCCGAGCCUUUCUGAAACUAGUCUUCUUGUGUGAUGAGAACUUUGACGAUGAGGAUUUUGAAGAUUUUUUCUUUUUCUUUGAGUCAUCAGAACUUUCAUCCUUGUAUUUCUUCUUCUUUGAUUCCUUCACCCAACGAGGACAAUAAACAAUGUAGUGACCAGAUUUCUUGCAUUUGUGGCACGUUCUUUUCAUGUAGUCCUCAGAUGAAGAUUCUGAUUUCAUCAUAUCUCUUCUUGAAGAUUUACCAAACUGGACACGCCUUGUAAACUUCUGGAAUUUCCUCACCAGUAUUGCAAGCUCCUGUCCAAGUUCUUCAGGAUCACCAAUGCUGCAAUCUGAAUCUUCUUCUUUAGAUGAGUAAAUUGCUUUGGCCUUCAGCGCACGAGGUCUUGAGUAGCUUGGUCCAUACAGAUCUCUCUUUUCUUAUUGUUAGAAUUCAUGAGUAUCGAGUCUUUCAAGUAUAUCAGUGGUAUCAAGCAUCUUAUAGUCUCCUCUUCCUUGAAUCAUCAGAGCUAGUGUAUCAAAUGAUGGAUCCAUAGAUCUUAGCAGUUUCUUCAAAACUUCAUGGUUAGUGAUGUCUCGAGCUCCCAGUGCUUGCAGUUUAUUUGAGAUAUCAGUGAGGCAAUCAAACGUAUCUUGGCAGCUUUCAUUGUCAAGCCUCUUGAAGAGAUUGCAAAGAACAUCAACACGAGAGUGACACUGAGUUGAAAUUCCUUCAUUGACUUUGGACAGCCUAUCCCAGAUAAGCUUAGUUGUGCCCAAAGCACUCACUCUGCCAUACUGACCUUUGCUCAGAUGACCACAGAUGAUAUUCUUCGCUUGAAAAUCAAGUUGCUUGAAUUUCUUCACAUCAGCGGCAGAGACGGUAGCAGCGAUGGAGGGAAUACCAUGUUCCACAAUGUACCACAAAUCAUUGUCAAUAGCCUGAAGAUGCAUCUGCAUCUUGGUCUUCCCGUACAGAAAGUCCUUUCCUUCGAAGGUAGGACAUCCUGCAGUAACCUUGAUCAUUCCUACAAUCGACAUAACUAAAACUUCAGGUGGUUAAACCAAAAUCACACAGAACAAGGGAGUACCUUGCUCUGAUAACAAUUGAAAGUGCGUUAUAUCGACUAGAGGGGGUGAAUAUGCGAUUUUUAGAAUUUCAUCGCUGAGGAAAUUCCUUGUGAGGAAAUUCCUCAAUGAUGAAUUACGUGCAACAGAAAUAGCACAGGAUCACAAGUGCAAAGACUACUACAGCAGAUCGCUUGAUGAAGAUUAUGAGAAUCGGUUUGCACAGUACGCAGGUACAAAAUAAGCAGGUGAAGACUACCUGGUGUGAAGAAUUUGAGGUUGAGGAAAUUCAGUGAAAGUCUUCAGCAAAAUCUUCGAACAGUGACAAUGAAAGUCUUCAACAUACAAUAUUGAGGAAUUGAAAGAGUUGAAGAAAUAGAACCCGAGUCACGAUGAAGACAGCUGUUGAUGACCCAGUUCCAACUGAUGUGCCAAUCUUACGUCUGGUUUGGAGUGGCUUGGUAUUGAAACCAAAAGACAUACAGUCCCGGGACACACAGUCCCUACUGUAUUCUCCUUCAGCUAAGGACACGCAGUCCUCGCCCAACACUCGUGGUAAGUCUUCAGGGCAGACUUCCAAACCCUCACAAAUCGUUCACCCGGCGAUCCACAAAUUGACUACUGGAUGCUCUAGACCAUGACGCCUAACCGUCUCGAGGAUGCACAAUCCUCAAAGGUAAAAGGCUUCAGUUCCACACAGGAACAAAUUCUUCAGUGAUGCUCAAUCACUUAGUUUUUGGUUUGUGGUUUGGUGUUUGGGGUAUUUCCUCACUUGAUGAUUUACUCUCGAAGACUGUGAGGAAUUUGGGUUGCUCUAAAUGACAAGUGUCAGUUUCUCUCGGAGCAGCCAACCAGCUAGUGGUUGUGGGGGGUGCUGCUAGCAGUCCCCGGCAACAACACUAGAAAAAUGUUGUUGACGUGUCCCUGACUUGAUGCCUCAGCGGCAACAGAGCCAGAACUGCUCCCAGUUGCUCAACAAUUAGCAAUUCUCUUGCAAUGGCCCACCAGCGCGUGGGUUCGUGGCAGUUUUUGAGGGUAGAGUAUUCAACCCAAAUUUGUUGGCUCGCCAGACGAGAAGUGAAAGGAUACUCUCAAGUAUUAGCAGCUGAAUGUGUCGGAUUCAACCGCACCUGAAAGAUUAAUAUCUGCAAGCAAAGCAUCAGUAGCAAAGUAGUAUGAUAGAAACGGUACGAGAAACGAUCUAUUGAUGGCAGACUAUUCCUAAUUGUUGUAUCAAUGGCGCCAGUAAGUUGCCCGUGGACGGGAAAUAGUCUUUUCUCGGCAACGGCGAGCGAAAGAGUAUUGUAGCGGGUAGCAGCAGUGUAACGAGUAACAUGAGUGGCAAGGAACAGCAGUAGUGACAGCAGUAGCAAGUAGCAACAGUAGCAAGUAACAGCAGCAGAGCAAAGCAAGUAACAGCAGCAGAGCGAAACAAGUAACAACAGCAGAGCAAAACAAGUAACAACAGUAGUGGGACAAACUCGUAGUCAAUGGGUCGGUGAUUCGUUUGGAUGAUAUUCAUCAUGCAACAGUUAUAACACAGAGAGAUAUAUGGCUAGCUCCCGUUCGUCAAUGUGAUGUAGGCAUGCAUUCCGUGUGUAGUCAUACGUGCUUAGGGAAAAGAACUUGCAGGACAUCUAUUGUCCAUCCCUCCUGUGGUAGCGGGGUCCAAAAGGAUACUACGGGAUAUUAAGGUUCUCCUUUUAAUAAAGAACCAGAACAAUGCAUUAGCACUUGGUGAACACAUGAACUCCUCAAACUAUGGUCAUCACCGGGAGUGGUUCCGGUUAUUGUCACUCCAGGGUUGUCGGGUCAUAACACAUAGUAGGUAACUACAACUUGCAAGAUCGGAUCUAAAACACACAUAUAUUGGUGACAACAUAAUAAUUUCAUAUCUGAAAUCAUGGCACUCGGGCCCUAGUGACAAGCAUUAAGCAUGGCAAAGUAGUAGCAGCGUCAAUCUUAGAACAUAAUGGAUACUAGGGAUCAAUGCCCGUCAAAACUAACUCGAUUACAUGAUAGAUCGCAUCCUACUCAUCACCGCCCUGCGAGCCUAUGAAUAGAUUACUCACGAACGAUGAAGAGCUUCAUGGAAUUGGAGAGGGAAGAAGGUUGAUGAUGACGAUGGCGACGAUUUCCUUGAUCCGGAGCCCAAAACAGACUCCAGAUCUACCCUCCAGGGCAAGAACGGGAUGUGGCGGCGCCUCUGGAUCGUGAAACGCGAUGAAAUCUUCUCUUCUGAUUUUUUGUGGACGAAAGUGGAUUUAUAGAGCGGGAGUUGGGGGUGGCAGACCCACGUGGGCCCCACAAGCUUGGUUGCCGGGGCUUGUGGCCCAUUGGCCCAUCCCCUCCGGUGGACCUUUGCGCACGUAUUUUUCAUAUUUCCCAGAAAUAUUCUCCGAAAAUUUUCAAGACGUUCCGAGAACUUUCAUUUCUGCACAAAAACAACACCAUGGCAAUUCUGCUGAAAACGGCGCCAGUCCGAGUUAGUUCCAUUCAAAUCAUGCAAUUAGAGUCCAAAACAAGGGCCAAAGAGUUUGGAAAAGUAGAUACGAUGGAGACGUAUCAACUCCCCCAAGCUUAAAACCUUGCUUGUCCUCAAGCAACUCAGUUGACAAACUGAAAGAGAAAGAAAAACUUUGACAAACUCCGUUUGAUCUUGUUGUUGCAACUAUGUCUAAUUCAUAACCAGAAUUUCAGCAAGAUCACAAGUUAACUACAUGAGCAAGUGACACAAAGGCCUCACGGUAAACUAAUAUCAAUGGCCUAAUCAGCUAGCGAGCAAAUAAUAAUGAGUUUUAGAUACCAAAAAUUCAAUCAAAACAAGCAUGAAGCAAUAUGAAUAGGUGGUAUCUCGCUAGCUCUUUCUGAGACCACAAAACAUAAAUGCAGAGCACUUUCAAAGAUCAAGGGCUAACUAAACAUUGUAAUUCAUAACAACGAAGAUCCAGUCAUAGUCAAACUCAAUAUCAAUCAAACGCAAAGCAUAAAAAUGACACAGGUGCUCUCUAAUUGGUGCUUAUAUAGGAGGAGGAUGACUCAACAGGAAAAUAAGUAGACAGGCCCUUCGCAGAGCAUUGAUUUGCAGAGGUGCCAGAGCUCAAGCUUUGAAAACAGAGAUAAUAAUUUUGGGUGGCAUGCUUUCAUUGUCAACGCAAUGACCAAGAGUUCUCAAUAUCUUCCACGCUACUCAUGCUAUAGGCGGUUCCCAAACAGAAAAGUAAAGUUUUAACUCCCCCACCACCAAUCAAUCACACUCCACGGCGAGCCGAAUCCUCGGGUACCGUCCAUACUAACAUCAAUCCGGGGGGAGUCUUGUUUUACAGUUCUGUAUUCGAUUUAAGCGUGGAACUGGGCAUUCCAAUUACCGGCCCCUUUCUCGUGAAUGACAGUGAAUAAACACAUGUCGAGGAUAACACACCUAACAUGGAAGAUAUCAAUAGCCCCCUGUCACCACAUGAGCGGUUCGGGCAUGCAAAACAGAUUAUUUCUUGAAGGUUUAGAGAAUGGCACAUGCAAAUUUACUUGGAACGGCACAUAAAUACCGCAAAUAGGUAGGUAUGGUGGACUCAUAAGGCACAACUUUUGGGUUUAUGGAGUUGGAUGCACAAGCAGUAUUCCGCUUAGUACAAGUGAAGGCUAGCAAAAGACUGGGAAGCGACCAACUAGAGAGCGACAACAGUCAUCAAGGUGCAAUGAGUUUGACUAACAUUGAGUGCAAGCAUGAACAGGAUAUAAAUCACCAUGAACACGAACAUCAUAGAGGCUAUGUUGAUUUUGUUUCAACUACAUGCAUGAACAUGCGCCAAGUCAAGCCACUUGAAUCAUUCAAAGGAGAAUACCAUCCUAUCAUACUACAUCAUAGUCAUCCCAAAAUCUAUGUUGGCAUUCAAGACAAACCGUUAUAAGCUCCUAGCUAAAUAAGCAUGGCAUCAAAAACUAUGAUCUCUAAGUUGUCAUUGCAAACAUGGUUCUCUCACAACAAAGCUGAAUCUAGAACGACAAGCUAGUCAUAUUUACAAAAACAAAUUAGAUAGAGUUCAUACCAGCUUUUCCAUUCUCAGUCACUUCAUCAUAUAUCAUCAUUAUUGCCUUUCACUUGCACGAUCGAACGGUGUGAACAAUAAUAAGAGUGCUCGUGCAUUGGACUAAGCUAAAAUCUGCAAGCAAACACAAAGGAGAAGACAAAGUAAUAUGGCUCUUUGAAAGCUAAACAGGUAUGCAUACAAGAGCUACUAAACAUUGUAACCAAUAUCUUCUACCUUGACCCAAAGAAAAAGAAAACUUUUUACACGGGAAAGCUCCCAACAAGCAAAAACAAGAAAGGAAAAUCUUUUUGGGUUUUCUAAAAAGGACACAAAACAAGAAAACAAGAAAACAAAAAUAAACUAGCAUGGAUAAUACAGUGGAAAAGUGUAAACACCGGCUAACAAGGUGAAAGCAUAAGCAUGAAUGUAAGGUCGGUGAGAACACGUACUCCCCCAAGCUUAGGCUUUUGGCCUAGCUUGGUCUACUCCCAAGGACGGUCCUGGCGAAACCCAAAAUCAUAAUCGGGGUUAUACGGGAGCGAUGCAGCCACUGUCUGAAUAGCUGCCUCACGAAGACGAGCAGCCGUCGCCUCCCUCUCAUACUCCAUUGCCUCUCCUAUGAUUAUGUGGUAUCUCCGUUUUACCUGAAAGUCAAAGAAAGCAAGAGCGGGAAGGGUAAUAUGGAAAACACGCUGCCGGUUAAAUAUCAAUCGGUAUAGGAGGAUUUCAUCAUCCCUCUCAAGGAACCGGUAGCGUGUCAUAGCGACGUGGUCAAGGAAAGUUGUAUGGAGCGGGGGAUCUCCUAAGCGGAUGGGUACUCCAAGAAAAUUUGCUAUGCGAGUGGCAUAGAUGCCACCAAAAAAAUCCCCAUCAAUAGCUUUCUUAUUCAGCCUCCUUGCUAUAAUAGCUCCUAUGUUGAAGCUUUUGUCACCCGUCACUGCGCUCUUAAGGAUACUAAGGUUGGAUGCGCAUAGGUGACAAUGUUCAACCUUGCCGUUAAUGCAUCUACCUAUGAAGAGGGCAAAGUAGUGCAAGGCAGGGAAAUGAAUGCUUCCUAUGGUAGCUUGCGUGAUGUCUCUAGUUUCUCCAACAGUUAUACUCGAGACAAAAUCUCUAACCGAAGACUUAGCAGGAUCUUUAAGAUUACCCCCAUCGGGUAUUUUGCAAAUCCUAUUGAAAUCCUCCAAAUCCAUGGCGUAGGAUUUAUCAUACAGAUCAAACAGUAUGGAUGAGUCACGGCCAACUGAAAAUUUAAAUCUACGCACGAAAGAGGCAGUGAGCAAAGCAUACUGUUCACAUUCAUCUGAGAGGAAUUCUUCUAACCCGGCAUUGCGGACAAGUGUAUCAAACUCAUCAUUGAAGCCUGCUUCGAUCAUAAACUCAUCGGAAGGCCAAUCACAUGGUUGCACCAGUGCGUCCCUUAGUUGAUAAGGAUCGGGCUCCCGAAUAGAAAGACGGGGACCCUUCUUACUUGAGGAACCACCAUGAAACUUCCUCCUGAACAUAAUUUCUUUGCUGAAAUUUUUGAAGUUCAAGAGAAAAGUGAAUAAAGACCAACCACACCUUGUAGAAACUACUCCUACUAGUGCUUAGAGAUCGUAUCACGCGCUAAAACUACUUGGGACCAGCUAAAAUCAACAUUUCAAGCUCAAGAACAGGGUCACCAAGGUAGCAAGAAUACGCGAAGGAUAAAGCACUAGAGCAAAAACUAAUUGGACCAAUGGAGGAGUCACUUACCAAGGAGUAAUUUCCCCAAAACGAUUCGGAGAAUGGUGCUUUGAGAAAGGAGAUCGAAAAUCACAGCCAAAUGAGCAAGAACACGGGUUUGAGCUGCGAAACGAUUUUUUCUGGAGGUAGAAGAAGAGGAUGGGAGCUGGAAUGAGUGGAGGGGGUCCCUGUGGGCCCCACAAGUUUGCUUGCCACGGCCAGGGGGUGGCCGCAGUGACAGGGCUUGUGGCCCACUGGUGUGGGCCCUAGGCCAGCUCUCAGUCCCAGUAUUUUUCAAAUAUUCCAGAAAAAAUCUUACUAGAUUUUCACGACCAUCAGAGAACUUUUAUUUUCGGGGUAUUUUUCUCCGGGACGCUAAAACAGAAAACGGGAAAAACUAAACUAAAUCUAUCAUUUUCUUCUAAGCAACAGAAAGUGAAGGCUUAAAACAGAGGUAUGUAACUCUUUGAUUCAUCCAUUUCAUGGUCAACGAAAGAAAUCCGUCAAUGGGGUGGAUCAAAUCGUCAUGACAAAAACUUCCUGGAAUCGCAAAAGAGAACGGAGAAUUUUCGAAUAGACACUAAGUCACCUCAAUGGGGAUAUGUAUCUCCCCAACAAGCAAAUCAUACUUCAUCUUGACAUGAGGAAUAGGGCAUUCAAAGCUCCCAGUAAGAAUCGCUGAAGUUUUUCAAUAGCAUUGAUGCAAUGUACUUGAUAUGUUUCUUCAGAAAAUGCACGGUAUGCUCAUUACCAUUGACAUGGAAAGUGACAUUGCCUUUGUUGCAAUCUAUAACAGCCACUGCCGUGUUUAAAAAGGGUCUUCCGAGGAUGACAACCAUGGCAUCGUCCUCGGGAAUAUCCAAGAUAACAAAGUCUGUUAAGAUAGUGGUGUUAGCAACCACAACAGGCACAUCCUCGCAAAUGCCGACAGGGAAAGCACUUGAUUUGUCGGCCAUUUGCAGAGAAAUUUCAGUGGUGUCAACUUAUCUAGUUCAAGUCUAUAAUAGAGAGAGAGAUGCAUAACACUAACUCCGGCUCCAAGGUCACAUAAGGGAGUUCUUACGUAGUUUCCUUUAAUGGAGCAAGGUAUAGUGGGCACUCCGGGAUCACCAAGUUUCUUAGGAGUUCCACCUUUGAAAGUGUAAUUGGAAAGCAUGGUGGAGAUCUCAAGAUCUGGUAUCUUCCGUUUAUUGGUCACGAUAUCUUUCAUGUACUUGGCAUAUGGAGACAUUUUGAGCAUAUCAACUAACCGCAUCUACAGAAAGACGGGUCUUAUCAUUUCAAUAAAGCACUCAAAAUCCUCAUCAUCCUUUUUCUUGGAUGGCUUAGGAGGAAAGGGCAUAGGUCUCUGAACCCAUGGCUCCCUUUCUUUACCAUGCUUCCUAGCAGUGAAGUCAUUCUUAUCGUAUCUCUUAGGUUGUGGGUUAUAAGGAUUAAUCGUAGGUUCAAUCUCCACAUCCUUAUCAUUGCUAGGUUGAGCAUCAUUAUGAACAUCGUUGUCCAUAUUGUCACCAGGUUCAUGUUCAUCACCAGAUUGUGUUUCUGCAUCAGACGCAGAAAUAUCAUUUGGUCCUUCAGGUGUGACAGUAUUUGGUGAACUAACAUGUAGGUUUCUAUCAUCCUUCUCCUUCUUCUUAGGAUGACUGGGUGUAUCAGCAUUAAUUCCUUGAGAAUCUUGAUCAAUUCUCUUAGGAUGGCCUCCAGGAUACAAAGGUUCCUCAGUCAUUUUGCCUCCUCUAGUAAUGACACUGACAGAGUUGUCAUUUAAUUCAUUGAGCAGGUCAUUCUGAGCUUUAAGUACUUGUUCUACCUGAGUAGUAAUCAUAGAGGCAUGUUUACUCACAAGCUUCAGAUCAUUGACAUUUCUGUCUACACAAGCACUUAAAUGACUAAGCAUAUAAGUACUUUGUUCCAAAUGUUUGCUAACAUAAUCAUUGAAACUCUGUUGUUUGGCAACAAAGUUGUCAAAUUCAUCAAAGCAUAGGCUAGCAAGCUUAUUAAAAGGAAUACCACUCUCAUCAAACCUACACAGAGAAUUUACUUCUACUACCUGUAUCGGGUUAUCGGGACCAUGGAUCUCUUUGAUAGGUGGUAGAUUUUUGACAUCUUCAGAUCUAAUGCCUUUCUCUUGCAUAGAAUUCUUGGCUUCUUGCAUAUCUUCGGGACUGAGGAAUAGAAUACCUCUUUUCUUCGGAGCUGGCUUAGUAGGUGGUUCAGGAAUAGUCCAAGCAUUAUCGUUGAUCAAGAUGUUAUUCAGUAGAGUCUCAGCUUGUUCUAUAGUUCAUUCCCUAAAAACACAACCGGCACAACUAUCUAGGUGGUCUUUAGAAGCAUCGGUAAGUCCGUUAUAGAAGAUAUCAAGUAUCUCGUUCUUCUUAAGAGGGUGAUCAGGCAAAGCAUUCUGUAGCUGGAUGAGCCUCCCCCAAGCUUGUGGGAGACUCUCUUCUUUGAGUUGAGCAAAGUUGUAUAUUUCCUGCAAGGCAGCUUGCUUCUUAUGGGCAGGGAAAUAUUUCUCACAGAAGUAAUAGACCAUAUCAUGGGGACUACUCACACAUCCAGGAGCAAGAGAAGUGAACCAGGCUUUAGCGUCACCCUUUAGAGAGAAAGGAAACAGCUUAAGGAUAUAGUAGUAGCGGAUCUUCUCCUCACUAGUGAAAAGGGUGGCUAUAUCAUGUAGUUUGGUAAGAUGGGCUACGACCGUCUCAGACUCAUAACCGUGGAAAGGAUCACAUUCGACUAGAGAGAUAAUCUCAAGAUCGAUAGAGAUUUCAUAAUCCUUAUCAGUGAUAAAGAUAGGUGAAGUGGCAAACUUCGGGUCGUAUUUCAUCCUAGCUUUCAGCGAUUUUUCCUUCCACUUGAGAAGUAAUUUCUCAGCGUCAUAGGCAAUCCUUACACACAAGAAAAUCCUCAGCUAUCUCUCACUCCAUAACGUAACCCUCAGGUAUAUCAGGCAAUUGAUAUCUAGGAGAGCUAGAUCUAGCAGGAGCAAAAGCAGGUUCUAUCUCAAUAGUAUCGGCAGUUUCAGAAGCAUCACGAGCAUUGGCAGUAACUCUAGCAAUAUGAGCAUCAAGGAAUACCCCUAGUGGCACAUCAGGCAAAGUAGUAUCUCUAGCAGUAUCAAGCAUAGCAUCAUCAGGCAAAAUAGCAUCAUCAGGCAUAGCAUCUCUAGCAGUAUCAGGCAUAGCAGCAUCAUAAGCAUCAUCAAGCACAGGCGACAUAUCAAGAUUUCUAGCAGGAGGUGGUGUCGCAAACUUACUCAUAACUGAAGGUGAAUCAAGUGCAGAGCUAGAUGGCAGUUCCUUACCUCCCCUCGUAGUUGAUGGCAAGACUUUGGUUUUUGGAUCUUUCAGAUUCUUCAUAGUGAUCCGCAGAUAUAAAUCCCAAGUGACUCAGAGAAUAUAGCUAUCCUUCCCCGGCAACGGCGCCAGAAAAAGCUGUUGCUAGCAGUCCCCAGCAACAACACUAGAAAAAUGUUGUUGACGUGUCCCUGACUUGAUGCCUCCGCGGCAACAGAGCCAGAACUGCUCCGAGUUGCUCAACAAUUAGCAAUUGUCUUGCAAUGGCCCACCAGCGCGUGGGUUCGCGGCAGUUUUCGAGGGUAGAGUAUUCAGCCCAAAUUUGUUGGUUCGCCAAGCGGGAAGUGAAAGGAUACUCUCAAGUAUUAGCAGCUGAAUGUGUCGGAUUCAACCACACCAGAAAGAUUAGUAUCUGCAAGCAAAGUAUCAGUAGCAAAGUAGUAUGAUAGCAACGGUGCCAGAAAUGAUCUGUUGACGGCAGACUAUUCCUAACUGUUGUAUCAAUGGCGCGAGUAAGUUUCCCGUGGAUGGGAAAUAGUCUUUUCCCGGCAACGGCGAGCGAAAAAGUAUUGUAGCAGGUAGCAGCAGUGUAACGAGUAACAGCAGUGGCAAGAAACAGCAGUAGUGACAGCAGUAGAAAGUAGCAACAGUAGCAAGUAACAGCAGUAGCAAGUAGCAACAGUAGCAAGUAACAGCAGCAGAGCAAAGCAAGUAACAGCAGCAGAGCGAAACAAGUAACAGCAGCAGAGCAAAACAAGUAACAGCAGCAGUGGGACAAACUCGUAGGCAAUGGGUCGGUGAUUCGUUCGGAUGACAUUCAUCAUGCAACAGUUAUAAGACGGAGAGAUAUGUGGCUAGCUCCCGUUCGUCAAUGUGAUGUAGGCAUGCAUUCCAUGUGUAGUCAUGCGUGCUUAGGGAAAAGAACUUGCAUGACAUCUAUUGUCCAUCCCUCCCGUGGCAGCGGGGUCCAAAAGGAUACUACGGGAUAUUAAGGUUCUCCUUUUAAUAAAGAACCGGAACAAUGCAUUAGCACUUGGUGAACACAUGAACUCCUCAAACUAUGGUCAUCACCAGGAGUGGUUCCCGUUAUUGUCACUCCAGGGUUGCCGGGUCAUAACACAUAGUAGGUAACUACAACUUGCAAGAUCAGAUCUAAAACACACAUAUAUUGGUGACAACAUAAUAAUUUCAGAUCUUAAAUCAUGGCACUCGGGCCCUAGUGACAAGCAUUAAGCAUGGCAAAGUAGUAGCAACAUCAAUCUCAGAACAUAGUGGAUACUUGGGAUCAAUCCCCGUCAAAACUAACUCGAUUACAUGAUAGAUCUCAUCCUACUGAUCACCGCCCAGCGAGCCUACGAAUAGAUUACUCACGAACGAUGAAGAGCUUCAUGGAAUUGGAGAGGGAAGAAGGUUGAUGAUGACGAUGGCGACGGUUUCCUUGAUCCGGAGCCCAAAACGGACUCCAGAUCUGCCCUCCAGGGCAAGAACGGGAUGUGGCGGCGCCUCUGGAUCGUGAAACGCGAUGAAAUCUUAUCUUUUGAUUUUUUUUUAUGGACGAAAGUGAAUUUAUAGAGAUGGAGUUGGGGGCGGCAGACCCACAUGGGCCCCACAAGCUUGGUUGCCGCGGCCAGGGGGGCCGCGACAACAGGGCUUGUGGUCCACUGGCCCAUCCCCUCUGGUGGAUCUUUGCGCAGGUAUUUUUCAUAUUUUCCAGAAAUAUUCUCCGUAAAUUUUUAGGAAGUUUCGAGAACUUUCAUUUCUGCACAAAAACAACACCAUGGCAAUUCUGCUGAAAACAGCGUCAGUCCGGGUUAGUUCCAUGCAAAUUAGAGUCCAAAACAAGGGAAAAGGAGUUUGGAAAAGUAGAUACGAUGGAGACGUAUCAGGGGGCAGCUAUUUAUAGCCUCGGAGCAUCCCGACAUUAUUUGACAUAAAUGCCCUUAAAUAAUGUGACCGUUGGUGUGGAUAAGAUCAAUGAGGUGGCGCGUGUCGCGGCAACGGUCGGAACUUUCAACUGUGAAAGUCCUCAUGUCUCUCAUAUUCCUCACUCUGAGGCUUUAGUAGGUUUAGGCUUGGGUUGAGCAUCAUGAGGAAAUUCAUUUUGUAGUAUUACCUCGACCCCUUUAGAAGUACGGUGUUCCUAUGACUCAAGAGUAAAGAAAAUGGAACAGAAAGAAUAAAUCUUCACGCUUCAAAGUCUUCAGACAUUAUUUCUUCAGGAACUACCAAAUUCCUCAUCAUCAAUAUCUUCAUGAGGAAUAUCAAUUUCAUCGCAAUUUCUUCGCGAUCAAAGUCUUCAAGGUAAGACCAAAAUCUUCAGCCGAAGACAUACAUUUUUAGGGGUCGAUAUUCAUCGUAUAGCUCAAACUCCUCAGCGACUUAUAAAGCUUGUGUACACUUAUAAACACAUUAGUCACUUAACCUAUAAGUCUUCAAACCACCAAACUCACUAAGGGCACUAGAUGCACUUACACCAUGAGAUCAUGCAACUCUCGGAAACCAGAGGAAUACCUUGUGUGUAUCAAACGUCGCAACGUAACUGGGUGACUAUAAAGGUGCUCUACAGGUAUCUCCGAAGGUGUCUGUUGGGUUGGCGUGAAUCGGGAUUCGGAUUUGUCACUCUGUAUGACGGAGAGGUAUCUCGGGGCCCACUCGGUAAUACAACAUCACAAUAAGCCUUGCAAGCAAUGUGACUAAGGAGUUAGUCUCGGGAUCUGGUAUUAUGGAACGAGUAAAGAGACUUGCCGGUAACGAGAUUGAACUAGGAAUCUCGGGAAAUGUAAGUGCAUCUAGUGCCCUUAGUGAUUUUGGUGGUUUGAAGACUUAUAGGUUAAGUGACUAAUGUGUAUGUAAGUGUACACAGGCUCUAUAAGUCGCUGAGGAGUUUGAAUUAUACGAUGAAUAUCGACCCCUAAAAAUGUAUGUCUUCGGUUGAAGAAAUUGGUCUAAAGUUGAAGACCUUAAUCGCGAAGAAAUUGCGAUGAAAUUGAUAUUCCUCAUGAAGAUAUUGAAGAUGAGGAAUUCAGUGUGUCCUGAAGAAAAAGUGUCUGAAGACUUUGAAGCGUGAAGAUUUACUAUUCCUGGUUCAUUUUCUUUACUCUUGAGUCAUAGGAACACCGUACUGUUAAAGGGGGUUGAGGUAAUACUACGGAAUGAAUUUCCUCAUGAUGAUCAACCCAAGCCAAAAGCUACCAAAGCCUCAAAGUGAGGAAUAUGAGAGACAUGAGGACUUUCAGAGUUGAAAGUUCCGACCGUUGCCGCGACACGCGCCACCUCACUGAUCUUAUCCACCCAACGGUCACAUUAUUUAAGGGCAUUUGUGUCAAAUCAUGUCGGGAUGCUCCCAGGCUAUAAAUAGCCGCCCCCCACAACCACUAGCCGGUUGGCUGCUCCGAGAGAAACCGACACUUCUCAUUUAGAGCAACCCAAAUUCCUCAGAGUCUUCGAGAGUAAAUCAUCAAGUGAGGAAAUACCCCAAACACCAAACCACAAACCAAAAACCAAGUGAUUGAGCAUCACCGAAGAAUUUGUUCCUGUGUGGAACUGAAUCCUUUUACCUUUGAGGAUUGUGCAUCCUCCAGAUGGUUAGGCGUCAUGGUCUAGAGCAUCCAGCAGUCAAUUGUGGAUCGUUGGGUGACCGAGUUUGUGAGGUUUUGGAAGUCUUCCCUGAAGACUUACCACGAGUGUUGGGCGAGGACUAUGUGUUCUUAGCUCAAGGAGAAUAUGGUGGGGACUGUGUGUCCUUUGGUUUCAAUACCAAGCCGCUCCAAACCAAACGUACAACUCUCACAACAGUUGGAACUAGGUCAUCAACAACUGUCUUCAUCAAGCUACAGGUUCUAUUUCUUCAACUCUUUCAUUUCCUAAGAAUUGUAUGUUGAAGACUUUCAUCUGUGCUAUUUGAAGAAUUUGUCUGAAACUUUCUCUGAAUUUCCUCAACCUCAAAUUCUUCAUUCGAGUUAAUCUUCACGUGCGUUCUGUGUACUGAUACGUCCAUUUUGCAUCAUGUUUUCAUGUUGAUAUUUAUCGCUUCUUGGGCUAUUAUUUCACUUCACGGAACAAUACUUAUGCCUUUUCUCUCUUAUUUUGCAAGGUUUACAUGAAGAGGGAGAAUGCCAGCAGCUGGAAUUCUGGCCUGAAAGUGGAGCAAGUUUGAGAUGCCUAUUAGUCUUUGUAGUUGAUGCUAGUUGGAUUACUUGGUGGAAGAGUUUAUGUUCAGAUCCUUGAUUCUACUCAUUACCUCUCUCGUCAUGAAUAUGAUUAUGCUUUGUGAGUAGUUACUUUUGUUCCUCAGGACAUGGGAUAAGUCAUGCUAAUAGUAGUCAUGCUAAUUUGGUAUUGGUUCGAUAUUUUGAUGUGUUGUAUGUUGUUUUUCCUCUGAUGGUGUUAUGUGAACGUCGACUACAUAAGACUUCACCAUUAUUUGGGCCUAGAGGAAGGCAUUGGGAAGUAGUAAGUAGAUGAUGAGUUGCUAGAGUGACAGAAGCUUAAACCCUAGUUUAUGCGUUACUUCGUAAGGGGCUGAUUUGGAUCCACUAGUUUAAUGCUAUGGUUAGACAUUGUCUUAAUUCUUCUUUCAUAGUUGCGGAUGCUUGCGAGAGGGGUUAAUCAUAAGUGGGAUGCUUGUCCAAGUAAGGGCAGUACCCAAGCGGCGGUCCACCCACAUAUCAAACUAUCAAAGUAACGAACACGAAUCAUAUGAACAUGAUGAAAACUAGCAUGAUAGAAAUUCCCGUGUGUCCUCGGGGGCGUUUUUCCUCCAAUAAGACUUUGUCCAGGCUUGUCCCUUCCUACAAAAGGGAUUGGGACACAUUGCUGCACCAUUGCUACUUUUGUUACUUGUUGCUCGCUACGAAUCAUCUCAUCGCACAAUCACUUGUUACCGAUAAUUUCAGUGCUUGCAGAUAUUUCCUUGUUGAAAACCACUUGUCAGAUCCUUCUGCUCCUCGUUGGGUUCGACACUCUUACUUAUCGAAAGGACUACGAUUGAUCCCCUAUACUUGUGGGUCAUCAAGACUCUUUUCUGGCACCGUUGCCGGGGAGUGAAUCGCCUUUGGUAAGUGGAACUUGGUAAGGAAACAUUCAUAUAGUGUGCUGAAAUUUAUUUUCACUUGUCACUAUGGAUACUAAUCCUUUGAGGGGCUUUUUUGGGGUAUCUUCACCUCGAACGGAAGCACAAAUAGUUGCUCCUCAACCUGCUGCACCUACUGAAAAUAUUUUCUUUGAAUUUCCUUUGUGUAUGCUUGAGAAACUGUUGGCUAAUCCUUUUACACGAGAUGGAACAUCACAUCCAGACUUGCAUCUAAUCUAUGUAGAUGAAGUUUGUGGUUUAUUUAAGCUUGCAGGUUUGCCCGAGGAUGAGGUCAAGAAGAAGUUCUUUCCUUUAUCUUUGAAGGAUAAGGCGUUGACAUGGUAUAGGCUAUGUGAUGAUACUGGAUCAUGGGACUACAAUCGGUUGAAAUUGGAAUUUCAUCAAAAGUUUAUCCUAUGCAUUUAGUUCAUCGUGAUUGGAAUUAUAUUUAUAAUUUUUGGCCUCGUGAUAGAGAAAGCAUCGCUCAAGCUUGUGGGAGGCUUAAAUUAAUGUUAUAUUCAUGCCCCAACCAUGAGCUCUCGAGAGAAAUUAUCAUUCAGAACUUCUAUGCUCGGCUUUCUCAUGAUGAUCGCACCAUGCUUGACACUUCUUGUGCCGGUUCUUUUAUGAAGAGAGAUAUUGACUUUAGAUGGAAUUUAUUGGAGAGGAUUAAACGCAACUCUGAAGACUGGGAGCUUGAAGAAGGUAAGGAGUCAGGUAUGAAUUUCAAGUUUGAUUGCGUUAAAUCCUUUGUUGAAACAAAUACCUUUGGUGAUUUUAGCGCUAAGUAUGGACUUGACUCUGAGAUAGUAGCUUCAUUGUGUGAAUCUUUUGUUGCUCAUAUUGAUCUCCCCAAAGAGAAGUGGUUUAAAUAUCAUCCUCCUUUAGAAGCCAAUGUAGUUAAACCCAAUCCAGUUGAACAGAAACUCAUUGCCUCUAAUGAUCCUAUUGUUCCCAGUGCUUACAUUGAGAAACCACCUUUCCCUGUUAGGAUAAAGGAUCAUUCUAAAGCUUCAACUGUGAUACGUAGAGGCUACAUUAGAACACUUACACCCCCUGAGCAAAUUAGAGUUGAACCCAGCAUUGCUAUUAUCAAAGAUCUUUUGUCCGACGAUGUUGAGGGACAUAAUAUUCACUUCUAUGAAGAUGCUGCUAGAAUUGCUAAACCUCACGCUAGAGACAAACAUAGGCCUGUUGUUGGAAUGCCUGUUGUUUCAGUUAAGAUAGGAGAUCAUUGUUAUCAUGGCUUAUGUGACAUGGGUGCUAGUGUUAGUGCAAUACCUCAAUCCUUAUAUGAUGAAAUAAAAGAUGAGAUUGCACCUGUUGAGAUAGAGCCUAUUGAUGUCACUAUUCAGCUUGCCAAUAGAGAUACUAUCUGCCAUGUGGGAAUUGUUAGGGAUGUUGAAGUCUUAUGUGGUAAAACGAAGUAUCCUGCUGAUUCCCUCGUUCUUGGUACGCACAAGAUAGCUUCUGUCCCAUCAUAUUUGGUAGACCUUUUCUCAAUAUAAUUUUUGAUGGUUUCAUGUUAUUAUCUUGUCAAACUUGGGAUGUCUUGCAUGCCUUUUAUUUAUUUUCAGGGACUAACUUAUUAACUUAGUGCCAAGUGCCAGCUCCUGAUUUUUCCAUGUUUUUGACCCCUUUCAGAGGAAAUUUUGAAACAGAAUCCAAACGGAAGAAAAUCCGCGAAAAGAUUUUUUCUGGAACGGAAGAAGAUCGGAGAGCUUGGGGGCCAAGCCAGAAGAGCCCCAGGGCCCCACAAGCCCCAACCCUGCAGCCAGGGGGCCGCGCCAUGCAGGCUUGUGGGCCCCCUGGAGGUCCCCUGACCUAGAUCUUGCGCCUAUAAAAUCCCAAAUAUUCCCAAAAAAUCAGGGGAGCAUCGUAAUCACUUUUCCACCGUCGCAAGCUUCUGUCUCCGCAAGAUCCCAUCUGGGGCACGUCCUGGUGCCCUGUCGGAGGGGGGAUUCGGACACGGAAGGCUUCUCCAUCAACACCAUGACCUCUCUGGUGAUGCGUGAGUAGUUCACCAUAGACCUACGGGUCCAUAGCUAGUAACUAGAUGGAUUCUUCUCUCUCUUGGAUCUUCAAUACAAAGUUCUCCAUCAUCUUCAUGGAGAUCUAUCCGAUGUAAUCUUGUUUUGCGGUGUGUUUGUCGAGAUCCGAUGAAUUGUGGAUUUAUGAUCAGAUUAUCUAUGAAUCUUAUUUGAGUUUCUUCUGAUCUCUCUUAUGCAUGAUUUCAUAUCCUUGUAAUUCUCUUCGAGUUGUGGGUUUUGUUUGGCCAACUAGAUCUAUGAUUCUUGCAAUGGGAGAUGUGCUUGGUUUUGGGUUCAUACCGUGCGGUGACCUCACCCAGUGACAGAAGGGGUAGCGAGGCACGUAUCGUGCUGUUGCCAUCAAGGGUAAAAAGAUGGGGUUUUCAUCAUUGGUUUGAGAUUAUCCCUCUACAUCAUGUCAUCUUGCUUAAAGCGUUACUCUGUUUGUCAUGAACUCAAUACACUAGAUGCAUGCUGGAUAGCGGUCGAUGUGUGGAGUAAUAGUAGUAGAUGCAGAAAGUAUCGGUCUACUUGUCCCGGACGUGAUGCCUAUAUGCUAGAUCAUUGCCUUAGAUAUCGUCAUGACUUUGCGCGGUUCUAUCAAUUGCUCGACAGUAAUUUGUUCACCCACCGUAAUAUUUGCUAUUUUGAGAGAAGCCUCUAGUGAACACUAUGGCCCCGAGGGUCAACUCCACACCAUAUUUUCAGCCUUACACUUUUCACUUCGUUGCACUUUCCGCCUUCAGAUCUCACUUUUGCAAACAAUCUUGAAGGGAUUGACAACCCCUUUGAAGCGUUGGGUGCAAGCUUGUUUGUUUUUGCGCAGGUACUUUGGACUUGACGAGGCCCUCCUUUUGGUUCGAUACCUUGGUUCUCAAACUGAGGGAAAUACUUACUGCUCCUGUGCUGCAUCACCCUUUCCUCUUCAAGGGAAAAACCGACGCAAACCAGAGAAGUAUCAAGAAGAGUUCCUACGCUCCAGGGAAGGACUUUUGUUGCCGCAACAGAAGAAUUUCUGGCGCCGUUGCCGGGGAGGAAGAUCAAGUCAGGAACUCAUCCAAGUAAGUGUCGCAAACUCAUGUCUUGCAUUUACUUUGUUUGCUAGUUGCCUCUCGUUUUCCUCUCCCCCACUUCAACAAUUUGCCUUUUUCGUUCGCCUUUUCGUUCGCCCUUUUUCUGGCCCGCUUUUUGUUUGCUCGUGUGCUUGCCUGCUUGCUGAAGUCACCAUGAACGAAAACAUCAAGCUUUGUGACUUCUCGAAUACUAAUAAUAAUGAUUUUAUUAGUACUCCGAUUGCUCCCGCCACUAGUGCGGAAUCAUACGAAAUCAAUGCCGCUUUGCUGAAUCUUGUUAUGAAAGAGCAAUUCUCUGGAAUUCCUAGUGAAGAUGCCACAUCCCAUAUCAAUACCUUCAUUGAGCUUUGCGAUAUGCAAAAGAAAAGAGAUGUGGAUAAUGACGUGAUUAAAUUGAAGCUUUUUCCUUUCUCGUUGCGAGAUCGCGCAAAAACUUGGUUUUCUUCUUUGCCCAAAAAUAGUAUCAAUUCUUGGGAUAAGUGCAAAGAUGCUUAUAUAUCCAAGUAUUUUCCGUCGGCUAAGAUCAUCUCUCUCCGUAAUGAUAUCAUGAAUUUCAAGCAACUUGAUCAUGAACAUGUUGCACAAGCUUGGGAGAGAAUGAAAUUAAUGAUUAGGAAUUGUCCCGCUCAUGGCUUGAGUCUUUGGAUGAUUAUUCAAAUCUUUUACGCUGGCUUGAAUUUCGCUUCUAGAAAUAUCUUGGACUCCGCCUCACGUGGAACGUUCAUGGAAAUCACGUUAGGAGAAGCCACAAAGCUCUUAGACAACAUCAUGACGAACUACUCUCAGUGGCACACUGAAAGGUCACCUACUAGUAAGAAAGUACACGCUAUAGAAGAAAUUAACUCGUUGAAUGCUAAGAUGGAUGAGUUAAUGAAUUUGGUUGCUAGUAGAAGUGCUCCUUUGGAUCCUAAUGAUUUGCCUUUGUCUUCUUUGAUUGAGAGUAGCAACGCUAGCUUGGACGUAAAUUUUGUUGGUAGGAAUAACUUUGGCAACAACAACGCUUUUAGGGGAAACUAUGUUCCUAGGCCUUUUCCUAGUAACUCCUCUAAUAACUUUGGCAACUCCAACAACAAUACCCAUGGAAAUUACAAUAGAUUACCCUCUAAUCUAGAGAGUAAUAUCAAAGAGUUCAUCAACUCUCAAAAGAUUUUCAAUGCGUCCAUAGAGGAAAAACUACUCAAAAUUGACGAUUUGGCUAAGAGCGUUGAUAGGAUUUCUUGUGAUGUUGAUGCUUUGAAAGUUAGAUGUGCUCCUCCCAAAAUCAACAUGGAUGAAACUUUGAAACCAAUGCGUGUUUCCAUGAUUGAGAGCCAAGAAAGAACCGCCCAAAUUCGUGCUAGACAUGAAUGGCUUAAAAAGGCGUGUUCUCAUGAUGAGAAUCACGAAGAUCUUAAAGUGCUUGGUGUGACUCCCAUUGAAUCUUAAAGUGCCCCAAUGAUUCAGAGUCCAUCUAUCUUGAUGCUAAAAGCGUUAAAAGUGGAGUAGAAGACGUUAAAACUUUGAGUAGUAAUGAAGUUACUACCAUGGAUUUCAAGGAAUUCAAUUAUGAUAGUUCCUCCUUGAUUGAAUGCAUUUCUUUGAUGCAAUCCAUGUUAAACUCUCCGCACGCUUAUAGCCAAAACAAAGCCUUUACCGAUCAUAUCGUCGAAGCUAUGACAAAAGCUCUUGAAGAGAAACUUGAAUUGGAAGUCUCUAUCCCUAGAAAGCUUCAUGAUGAGUGGGAACCUACCAUCAAAAUCAAAAACUAUGAGUGCAAUGCUUUGUGUGAUUUGGGUGCUAGUGUUUCUGCGAUUCCAAGGUCUUUAUGUGAUAUUCUGGGUUUUAAUGAGAUUGAAGAGUGUUCUCUUAAUUUGCAUCUUGUUGAUUAUACUAUCAAGAAACCCAUGGGAAGGAUCAAUGAUGUUCUUAUUAUUUCAAAUAGGAACUAUGUACCCGUGGAUUUCAUUGUGCUUGACAUUGAUUGCAAUCCUACAUGCCCUAUUAUUCUUGGUAGACCUUUCCUAAGGACUAUCGGUGCUAUCAUCGAUAUGAAGGAAGGGGAUAUUAGAUUUCAAUUUCCUUUAAGGAAGGGCAUGGAACACUUUCCUAGAAAUAAAAUAAGAUUGCCUUACGAAUCCAUGAUGAGGGCUACUUAUGGUUUGAGCACCAAAGACAACGAUACGUGAUUCUAUCGCUACUAUGCCUAGCUAAGGGCGUUAAGCAAUAGCGCUUGUUGGGAGGCAACCCAAUGAAUUUAUCCUUUUUCUUUCUGUUUUGUUGCAUCCACACUUUCAUAAUUCUGUUGUUAUUAUGUUUUUUGUGUUUCUUUUUGUGUUUGAGCCAAGCAAAACCUUUAUGAUUGGUCUUGGUAAUGGUUGUUUGAUCUUGCUCGAAAAAGACAGAAACUUUUCGCUCCCGAGAUGAUUUUUCAUUUUUAUUCAGAAAGAGAUUUUGAGUUGAUUCUUUUUGCUGCUGAUUGAUAUGAUUUUUCCCUAUACCUUUAUAAUGUUUCAGAUUUUUUGAGGUACCAAAAGUAUACGAAGUAUACAGAUUGCUACAGACUGGUCUGUUUUUGACAGAUUCUGUUUUUUUGAGUUGGUUGCUUGUUUUGAUGACACUAUGGUUAGUAUCGGGAGGUACUAGCCAUGGAAAAGUGAGAAUACAGUAGCUCGUCAUCAAUAUAGAUGGAAUUCAAGUUUUCUACAGUAACAAAAGAAGUGGUAGUUUCUUUUCUUGUACUAAUGUUAUCACAAGUUUCUGUUUAAGUUUUGUGUUGUGAAGUUUUCAAGUUUUGGGUGACGUUCUCAUGGACAAAGAGAUAAGGAGUGGAAAGAGCUCAAGCUUGGGGAUGCCCAAGCAACCCCAAGCCAAAUUCAAGGACUCCAAAAAGCCUAAGCUUGGGGAUGCCCCGGGAAGGCAUCCCCUCUUUUGUCUUCAAUCCAUCAUUAACAUUAAUUGGGGCUAUAUUUUUAUUCACCACAUGAUAUGUGUUUUGCUUGGAGCGUCUUGUAUCAUAGGAGUCUUUUCUUUUUGUUGUGUCACAAUCAUCCUUGCUGCACACCUUUUUGAGAGAGAGACACAUGCACUCAUCGUGAUUUUGCUAGAAUGCUCAUUGUGAUUCACUUAUAUCUUUUGAGCUAGAUACUUUUGCUCUAGUGCUUCACUUAUAUCUUUUGAGCUAGAUACUUUUGCUCUAGUGCUUCACUUAUACCUUUUGAGCUACAUACUUUUGCUCUUGUGCUUCACUUAUAUCUUUAGAGAACGGAGGUGCGUGAUUUGGUAGUUGGCUUAUGCUAUGAAAGAAGUCCCAUGAGCUAGGUACCCAAAGAAGAUGCAAAAACCUCCAUCUUCAUGUGCAUUGAGUAGAAAGAGAAGUUUCGAUUCCUCUCAUUUAGUUUUGAGACACGGAUUCGGUAAUAUUAAAAGCUAUGUUAGUAGGGUGUUGUGAAUCUAGAAAUACUUGUGUUGAAGUUAGUGAUUCCCGUAGCAUGCACGUAUGAUGAACCGCUAUGUUAGGAAGUCGGAGCAUAAUUGAUCUAUUGAUUGUCAUCCUUUGUGUUGAGGUCGGGAUCGCGCGAUGGUUUACACCUACCAACCCUUCCCCUCGGAGUAUGCGUUUAGCACUUUGUUUUGAUUGCUAAUAAAAACUUUUGCAACAAGUAUGUGAGUUCUUUAUGAUUAAUGUUGUGUCCAUGGUAUAGAUGCACUUUCACCUUCCACCAUUGCUAGCCUCUCUAGCGCCGCACAAUUCUCGCCGGUGCACAAACCCACCAAAUUCCUUCCUCAAAACAGCCACCAUACCUACCUACUAUGGCAUUUUCAUAGCCAUUCCGAGAUAUAUUGCCAUGCAACUACCACUGUUCCGUCUCAUGACUUGUGCCGUCACUUUCAUAUUGCCAUUGCAUGAUCAUACUAGAUCAUUGCACAUCCCGGUACACUGCCGGAGGCAUUUCCUAUGAAGUCAUCAUCAUUGUGAUUUUUGAGCUUUGAGUAAAUAAAAGUGUGAUGAUCAUCAUUAUUAGAGCAUUGUCCCGUGUGAGGAAAUAAAAAAAAGAAGAGGCCAAAGAGCCCAAAAACAAAAAAAAGAGAAAAGAAAAAAAGAGGCCUAAGAGCCCAAAAAAAGAGAAAUGAGAGAAAAAGAGAGAAGGGACAAUGCUACUAUCUUUUUCCACACUUGUGCUUCACGAUAGCACCAUGUUCUUCAUGAUUGAGAGCUUCUUGCUUUGCCACUACCAUAUGCUAGUGGGAAUUUCCGUUUUAUAACUCGGCUUGUAUAUUCCAAUGAUGGGCUUCCUCAAAAAUUGCCCUAGGUAUUCGUGAGCAAGCAAGUUGGAUGCACACCCACUAGUUUUCCCUUGAGCUUUCACAUACUUAUAGCUCUAGUGCAUCUCUUGUAUGGCAAUCCCUACUCAUUCACGUUGAUAUCUAUUAAUGGGCAUCUCCAUAGCCUAUUGAUACGCCGAGUCAAUGUGACCAUCUCCUCCUUUUUGUCUCACAACCACCACCACACUCUAUUCCACCUAUAGUGUUAUAUCCAUGGCUCGCGCUCAUGUAUUGCGUGAUAGUUAUAAAAAAUUUGAGAAAGUAAGAGUGCGAAAACAAUUACUUGGCCAAUUCCGGGGUUGUGCAUGAUUUACAUUAGUUGUGUGAGGAUGAUGGAGCACAGACAGACUAUAUGAUUUUGUAGGGAUAACUUUCUGUGGCCUUGUUAUUUUGAAAGUUCAUGAUUACUUUGCUAGUUUGCUUAAAGUAUUACUGUUUUCAUGUCAAUAGCAGACUAUUGUUUCCAAUCGUACGGGUCUGAAUAUUCAUGCCGCGUGAAAGAAGUUGCAAAGGACAACUAUUCUAGGUAGCAUUCCACAUCAAAAAUUCAUUCUUUAUCACUUCCCUACUCGAGGACGAGCAGGAGUUAAGCUUGGGGAUGCUUGAUACGUCUCCAACGUAUCUAUAAUUUUUGGUGGUUUCAUGCUAUUAUCUUGUCAAACUUGGGAUGUUUUGCAUGCCUUUUAUUUAUUUUCUGGGACUAACUUAUUAACUCAGUGCCAAGUGCCAGUUCCUGUUUUUUCCAUGUUUUUGACCCCUUUUAGAGGAGAUUUUGAAACGGAGUCCAAACGGAAGAAAAUCCCCGAAAAGAUUUUUUCUGGAACGGAAGAAGAUCGGAGAGCUUGGGGGCCAAGCCAGAAGAGCCCCAGGGGCCCCACAAGCCCCCAUCCCGCGGCUAGGGGGGCGCGCCAUGAAAGCUUGUGGGCCCCCUAGAGGUCCCCUGACCUAGAUCUUGCGCCUAUAAAUUCCCGAAUAUUCCUAAAAAAAUCAGGGGAGCAUCGUAAUCACUUUUCCGCCGCCGCAAGCUUCUGUCUCCGCAAGAUCCCUUCUGGGGCACAUCCUUGUGCCCUGCCGGAAGGGGGAUUCGGACACGGAAGGCUUCUCCAUCAACACCAUGACCUCUCCGAUGAUGCGUGAGUAGUUCACCAUAGACCUACGGGUCCAUAGCUAGUAACUAGAUGGCUUCUUCUCUCUCUUGGAUCUUCAAUACAAAGUUCUCCAUGAUCUUGAUGGAGAUCUAUCCGAUGUAAUCUUCUUUUGCGGUGUGUUUGUCGAGAUCCGAUGAAUUGUGGAUUUAUGAUCAGAUUAUCUAUGAAUCUUAUUUGAGUUUCUUCUGAUCUCUCUUAUGCAUGAUUUCAUAUCCUUGUAAUUCUCUUCGAGUUGUGGGUUUUGUUUGGCCAACUAGAUCUAUGAUUCUUGCAAUGGGAGAAGUGCUUGGUUUUUGGUUCAUACUAUGCGGUGACCUCACCCAGUGACAGAAGGGGUAGCGAGGCACGUAUCGUGUUAUUGCCAUCAAGGGUAAAAAGAUGGGGUUUUCAUCAUUGGUUUGAGAUUAUCCCUCUACAUCAUGUCAUCUUGCUUAAAGCGUUACUCUGUUCGUCAUGAACUCAAUACACUAGAUGCAUGCUGGAUAGCGGUCGAUGUGUGGAGUAAUAGUAGUAGAUGCAGAAAGUAUCGGUCUACUUGUCUCGAACAUGAUGCCUAUAUGCUAGAUCAUUGCCUUAGAUAUCGUCAUGACUUUGCACGGUUCUAUCAAUUGCUCGAUAGUAAUUUGUUCACCCACCGUAAUAUUUGCUAUUUUGAGAGAAGCCUCUAGUGAACACUAUGGCCCCCAGGGUCUACUCCACACCAUAUUUUCAGCCUUACACUUUUCACUUUGUUGCACUUCCCGCCUUCAGAUCUCACUUUUGCAAACAAUCUUGAAGGGAUUGACAACCCCUUUGAAGCGUUGGGUGCAAGCUUGUUUGUUUUUGUGUAGGUACUUUGGACUUGACGAGGCCCUCCUUUUGGUUCGAUACCUUGGUUCUUAAACUGAGGGAAAUACUUACUGCUCCUGUGUUGCAUCACCCUUUCCUCUUCAAGGGAAAAAACGACUCAAACAAGAGAAGGAACAAGAAGAAUUCCUACGCGCCAGGGAAGGACUUUUGUGUUGGGGAACGUCGCAUGGGAAACAAAAAAAUUCCUACGCGCACGAAGACCUAUCAUGGUGAUGUCCAUCUACAAGAGGGGAUUUCCGAUCUACGUACCCUUGUAGAUCGGACAGCAGAAGCGUUAAGAAACACGGUUGAUGUAGUGGAACGUCCUCACGUCCCUCGAUCCGCCCUGCGAACCGUCCCGCGAUCCGUCCCACGAUCCGCUCUGAUCUAGUGCCGAACGGACGGCACCUUCGCGUUCAGCACACGUACAGCUCGACGAUGAUCUCGGCCUUCUUGAUCCAGCAAGAGAGACGGAGAGGUAGAUGAGUUCUCCGGCAGCGUGACGGCGCUCCGGAGGUUGGUGGUGAUCUAAUCUCAGCAGGGCUCCGCCCGAGCUCCGCGGAAACGCGAUCUAGAGGUAAAACCGUGGAGGUAUGUGGUCGGGCUGCCGUGGCAAAAGUUGUCUCAAAUCAGCCCUAAAACCCCACUAUAUAUAGGAGGGGGGGAGGGGAGGAGGCAGCCUCAAAACCUAAAGGUUUGGCCGAAAUUGGAGGUGGAGGAGUCCUACUCCAAUCCUGCUUGGAGUAGGAUUCCACCUUCCCACUUGGAAACUCUUUCCACCUUGUGUUUUUUCCUUCUCAAACCUUAUGGGCCUUAGUGGGAACUUAUUCUAGCCCACUAGGGGCUGGUUUAUCUCUUCCCACAGCCCAUGAGACCCCUUGGGGCGUGACACCCCUCCUGAUGGUCCCCGGCACCCCUCCCGGCACUCCCAGUACACUACCGAUCAGCCCGAAACUUUUCCGGUAAUGCACGAAAACCUUCCGAUAACCAAAUGAGGUCAUCCUAUAUAUCAAUCUUUGCUUCUAGACCAUUCCGGAAACUCUCGUGACGUCUGUGAUCUCAUCCGGGACUCCGAACAACAUUCGGUAACCAACCAUAUAACUCAAAUACGCAUCAAACAACGUCGAACCUUAAGUGUGCAGACCCUGCGGGUUCGAGAACUAUGUAGACAUGACCCGAGAGACUCCUCGGUCAAUAUCCAAUAGCGGGACCAGGAUUCCCAUAUUGGAUCCUACAUAUUCUACGAAGAUCUUAUCCUUUGCACCUUAGUGCCAAGGAUUCAUAUAAUCCCGUAUGUCAUUCCCUUUGUCCUUCGGUAUGUUACUUGCCUGAGAUUCGAUCAUCAGUAUCCGCAUACCUAUUUCAAUCUCGUUUACCGGCAAGUCUCUUUACUCGUUCCGUAAUACAAGAUCCCGCAACUUACACUAAGUCACAUUGCUUGCAAGGCUUGUGUGUGAUGUUGUAUUACCGAGUGGGCCCCGAGAUACCUCUCCGUCAUACGGAGUGACAAAUCCCAGUCUUGAUCCAUACUAACUCAACGAACACCUUCAGAGAUACCUGUAGAGCAUCUUUAUAGUCACCCAGUUACGUUGCGACGUUUGAUACACACAAAGCAUUCCUCCGGUGUCAGUGAGUUAUAUGAUCUCAUGGUCAUAGGAACAAAUACUUGACACGCAGAAAAGAGUAGCAACAAAAUGACACGAUCAACAUGCUACGUCUAUUAGUUUGGGUCUAGUCCAUCACAUGAUUAUCCUAAUGAUGUGAUCCCGUUAUCAAGUAACAACACUUGCCUAUGGCCAGGAAACCUUGACCAUCUUUGAUCAACGAUCUAGUCAACUAGAGGCUUACUAGGGACACUGUUUUGUCUAUGUAUCCACACAAGUAUUGUGUUUCCAAUCAAUACAAUUAUAGCAUGGAUAACAAACGAUUAUCGUGAACAAAGAAAUAUAAUAAUAACUAAUUAUUAUUGCCUCUAGGGCAUAUUUCAAACAGUCUCCCACUUGCACUAGAGUCAAUAAUCUAGUUCACAUCACCAUGUGAUUUCAACGAAUCCAACACCCAUAUAGUUCUGGGGUCUGAUCACGUCUUGCUCGUGAGAGAGGUUUUAGUCAACGGUUCUGAAACUUUCAGAUCUGUGCGUUCUUUACAAAUCUUUAUCUCAUCUUAUAGAUGCUGCUACUACGUGCUAUUCGAAAAUGCUCCAAAUAUCUGCUCUACUAUACGAAUCCGUUUCACUACUCAUAGUUAUUUGGAUUAGUGUCAAAGCUUGCAUAGACGUAACCCUUUACGACGAACUCUUUAACCACCUCCAUAAUCGAGAAAAAAAUCCUUAGUCUAUUUAGUUACUAAGGAUAACUUUGACCGCUGAUCAGUGAUUCAAUCCUGGAUCACUCUGUGUACCUCUUAAUAGACUUGCUGCAAGGAACACAUCAGGUGCGGUACUCAGCAUGGCAUACUUUAGAGUCUACGGCUAAGGCAUAGAAGACGACCUUCGUCUAUUCUCUUUAUUCUGCCGUGGUCGGGUUUUGAGUCUUACUCAAAUUCACACCUUACAACACAGUCAAGAACUCCUUCUUUGCUGAUCUAUUUCGAAUUCCUUCAAAAACUUGUCAAGGCAUGCAUCUUGUUGAAACUUCUAUUAAGCGUUUUGAUCUAUCUCCAUAGAUCUUGAUGCUCAACGUUCAAGUAGCUCAAUCCAGGUAUUCCUUUGAAAAACUUCUUUCAAACAACCUUUUAUGCUUCAUAGAAAUUCUACAUUACUUCUGAUCAACAAUAUGUCAACCACAUAUACUUAUCAGAAAUUCUAUAGUGCUCCCACUCACUUCUUUGGAAAUACAAGUUUCUCAUAAACCUUGUACAAACCCAAAAUCUUUGAUCAUCUCAUCAAAGUGUAAAUUCCAACUUCGAGAUGCUUGCACCAGUCCAAUGAAGGAUCGCUGGAGCUUGCAUACUUGUUAGUAUCUUUAGGAUCGACAAAACCUCGUGGUUGUAUCACAUACAAUGUUUGCUCAAGGAAACCGUCGAGGAAACAAUGUUUUGUCUUCCUAUGUGCAAUAUUUCACAAAUAAUGCAACAACUACUAACAUAAUUCCAACAGACUUUUAGCAUCGCUAUGAGUGAGAAAGUCUCAUCAUAGUCAACUAUUUGAUCUUGUCAGAAACAUCUUUGCGACAAGUCGAGCUUUUCUUAAUAGUGACUUAUCACCAUCAUCGUCUGUCUUCCUUACAAAGAUCCAUCUUUACUCAAUAGUCUUACUACCAUCAAGUAGUUCCUCCAAAGUCUACACUUUGUUUUAUAUAUGGAUCCUCUCUCGGAUUUCAUGGCCUCAAGCCAUUUGUCGGAAUCCGGGCCCACCAUUGCUUCUCCAUAACUCGUAGGUUCACUGUUGCUCAACAACAUGACCCCCAAGACAGGGUUACCGUACCACUCUGCAGUAGUACGCGACCUUGUCAACCUACGAGGUUUGUAGUAACUUGAUCCGAUGCUCGAUGAUCACCAUCAUCAGCUUUCACUUCCAUUGGUGUUGGCGCCACAAGAACAACUUACUGCGCCCUGCUACACACUGGUUGAAGUGAUGGUCCAAUAACCUCAUCAAGUUCUACCACCCUCCCACUCAAUUCUUUCGAGCGAAACCUUUCCUCGAGAAAGGAUCCGUUUCUAGAAACAAACACUUUGCUUUCGGAUCUGAGAUAGGAGAUGUACCCAACUGUUUUGGAUAUCCUAUGAAAAUGCAUUUAUCCGCUUUGGGUUCGAGCUUAUCAGACUGAAACUUUUUCACAUAAGUGUCGAAGCCCCAAACUUUCAAGAAACGACAGCUUAGAUUUCUCUAAACCUCAGUCUAUAUUGUGUCAUCUCAACGGAAAUACGCGGUGCCCUAUUUAAAGUGAAUGCGGUUGUCUCUAAUGCAUAACCCAUAAACGAUAGUGGUAAUUCGAUAAGAGACAUCAUAGUACGCACCAUACCAAAUAGUGCGUGGCUAUGACGUUCAGACACAUCAUCACACUAUAUGUUCCAGGUGCAUGAACUACGAAACAAUUUCCACAUUGUCUUAACUGCGUACCAAAACUCGUAACUCAGAUAUUCAUUUCUAUGAUCACAUCGUAGACAGUUUAUCCUCUUGUUACGACGAACUUCACUCUGAAACAGAAUUGAACUUUUCAAUAUUUCAGACUUGUGAUUCAUUAAGUAAAUACUCUUGUAUCUACUCAGAUCGUCAUUGAAGUAAGAACAUAAUGAUAUCCACUGCGUGCCUCAGCACCCAUUGGGCUGCAUACAUCAAAAUGUAUCACUUCCAACAAGUUACUAUCUUGUUUCAUCUCAAUGAAAACAAGGCCUCGCUCAUGUGGUAUGAUUUGCUUGUCACAAGUGAUUCAAAAUGAGGUGAGUAUAAAGAUCCAUCAGCAUGGAGCCUCUUCAUGCAAUUUAUACCAACAUGACUCAAGCGGUAGUGCCACAAGUAAGUGGUACUAUCAUCAUUACCUUGUUUCUUUUGGCACCAAUAUCAUGAACAUGUGUAACACUACGAUCGAGAUUCAAUAAACCAUUGAAGGUGAUUAUUCAAGCAAAUAGAGUAACCAUUAUUUUCUUUAAACGAAUAAUCGUAUUGCAAUAAACACGAUCCAAUCAUGUUCAUGGUUAACGCAAGCACCCAAUAACAAUUAUUUAGGUUUAACACCAAUCCCGAUGGUAGAGGGAGUGUGCGACGUUUGAUCAUAUCAACCUUGGAAACACUUCCAACACGUAUCGUCACCUCGCCUUUAGCUAGUCUCCGUUUAUGUCAUAGCUUUCAUUUCGUGUUACUAAUCACUUAGCAACCGAACCGGUAUCCAAUACCCUCGUGCUACUAGGAGUACUAGUAAAGUACACAUCAACAUCAUGUAUAUCAAAUAUACUUCUUUCGACUUUUGCCAGCCUUCUUAUCUACCAAGUAUCUAGAGUUGCUCCGCCUCAGUGACCGUUCCCCUCAUAACAGAAGCACUUAGUCCCGGGCUUGGGUUUAAUCUGGGGUCUCUUCAUUAGUGUAGCAACUGCUUUGCUGUUUCACGAAGUAUCCCUUCUAGCCCUUGCCUUUCUCGAAACUUAGUGGUUUUACUAACCAUCAACUAUUGAUGCUCCUUCUUGAUUUCUACUUUCGCGGUGUCAAACAUCGCGAAUCGCUCAAGGAUCAUUGUAUCUAUGCUUGAUAUGUUAUAUUUCAUCACGAAGCUCUCACAGCUUGGUGGCAGUGACUUUGGAGAACCAUCACUAUCUUAUCUGGAAGAUCAACUCCCACUUGAUUCAAGCAAUUGUCGUACUCAGAUAAUCUGAGCAGAUGCUCAAUGAUUGAGCUUUUCUCCUCUACUUCGUGGACAAAGAAUCUUGUCGAAGGUCUCAUACCUCUUAACAAGGGCACAAGCAUGAAAUCAAAAUUUCAUCUCUUUAUAACAUCUCUUAUGUUCCGUGACGUUUCAAAACGUCCUCGGCGCCUUGCUUCUAAGCCAUUAAGUAUUUUGUAUUGAACUAUCGUGUAGUCAUCAGAAACGUGUAUGUCGGAUGUUCACAACAUCUACAGACGACGCUCGAGGUGCAGCACACCGAGUGGUGCAUUAAGGACAUAAGCCUUCUGCGCAGCAACGAGGACAAUCCUCGGUUUUACAGACUCAGUCUGCAAAGUUUGCUACUAUCAACUUUCAACUAAAUUUUCUCUAGGAACAUAUAAAAACAGUAGAGCUAUAGCGCAAGCUACAUCGUAAUUCGCAAAGACCAUUAGAGUAUGUUCAUAACAAUUAGUUCAAUUAAUCAUAUUACUUAAGAACUCCCACUCAAAAAGUACAUCUCUCUAGUCAUUUGAGUGGUACAUGAUCCAAAUCCACUAUCUCAAGUCCGAUCGUCAUGUUAGUCGAGAAUAGUUUCAGUGGUAAGCAUCUCUAUGCUAAUCAUAUCAACUAUACGAUUCAUGCUCGACCUUUCGGUCUCAUGUGUUCCGAGGCCAUGCCUGCACAUGCUAGGCUCGUCAAGCUUAACCCGAGUGUUCCGCGUGUGCAACUGUUUUGCACCCGUUGUAUGUGAACGUUGAGUCUAUCACACCCGAUCAUCACGUGGUGUCUCGAAACGAAGAACUAUCGCAACGGUGCACAGUCGGGGAGAACACAAUUUCGUCUUGAAAUUUUAGUGAGAGAUCACCUCAUAAUGCUACCGUCGUUCUAAGCAAGAUAAGAUGCAUAAAGGAUUAACAUCACAUGCAAUUCAUAAGUGACAUGAUAUGGCCAUCAUCAUGCGCUUCUUGAUCUCCAUCACCAAAGCACCGGCACGAUCUUCUUGUCACCGGCGUCACACCAUGAUCUCCAUCAUCAUGAUCUCCAUCAACGUGUCGCCAUCGGGGUUGUCGUGCUACUCAUGCUAUUACUACUAAAGCUAUGUCCUAGCAAUAUAGUAAACGCAUCUGCAAGCACAAACGUUAGUUUAAAGACAACCCUAUGGCUCCUGCCGGUUGCCGUACCAUCAACGUGCAAGUCGAUAUUAACUAUUACAACAUGAUCAUCUCAUACAUCCAAUAUAUCACAUCACAUCGUUGGCCAUAUCACAUCACAAGCAUACCCUGCAAAAACAAGUUAGACGUCCUCUAAUUGUUGUUGCAUGUUUUACAUGGUGACCAUGGGUAUCUAGUAGGAUCGCAUCUUACUUACGCAAACACCACAACGGAGAUAUAUGAAUUGCUAUUUAACCUCAUCCAAGGACCUCCUGGGUCAAAUCCGAUUCAACUAAAGUUGGAUAAACCGACACUCGCCGGUCAUCUUUGAGCAACGUAGUUACUCGUAGCGAUGAAACCAGUCUCUCGUAAGCGUACGAGUAAUGUCGGUCCGAGCCGCUUCGAUCCAACAAUACCGUGGAAUCAAGAAAAGACUAAGGAGGGCAGCAAAAUGCACAUCACCUCCCACAAAAACUUUUGUGUUCUACUCGAGAAGACAUCUACGCAUGAACCUAGCUCAUGAUGCCACUGUUGCGGAACGUCGCAUGGGAAACAAAAAAAUUCCUACGCGCACGAAGACCUAUCAUGGUGAUGUCCAUCUACGAGAGGGGAUUUCCGAUCUACGUACCCUUGUAGAUCGCACAGCAGAAGCGUUAAGAAACACGGUUGGUGUAGUGGAAUGUCCUCACGUCCCUCGAUCCGCCCCGCGAACCGUCCCACGAACCGUCCCGCGAUCCGUCCCACGAUCCGCUCCGAUCUAGUGUCGAACGGACGGCACCUCCGCGUUCAGCACACAUACAGCUCGACGAUGAUCUCGGCCUUCUUGAUCCGACAAGAGAGACGAAGAGGUAGAUGAGUUCUUCGACAGCGUGACGGCGCUCCGGAGGUUGGUGGUGAUCUAAUCUCAGCAGGGCUCCGCCCGAGCUCCGCAGAAACGCGAUCUAGAGGUAAAACCGUGGAGGUAUGUGGUCGGGCUGCCGUGGCAAAAGUUGUCUCAAAUCAUCCCUAAAACCCCACUAUAUAUAGGAGGGAGGGAGGGGAGGAGGCAGCCUCAAAACCUAAAGGUUUGGCCGAAAUUGGAGGUGGAGGAGUCCUACUCCAAUCCUACUUGGAGUAGGAUUCCACCUUCCCACUUGGAAACACUUUCCACCUUGUGUUUUUCCUUCUCAAACCUUAUGGGCCUUAGUGGGAACUUAUUCCAGUCCACUAGGGGAUGGUUUAUCUCUUCCCAUAGCCCAUGAGACCCCUUGGGGCGUGAUACCCCUCCUGAUGGUCCCCGGCACUCCCAGUACACUACCGAUGAGCCCGAAACUUUUCCGGUAAUGCACGAAAGCCUUCCGGUAACCAAAUGAGGUCAUCAUAUAUAUCCAUCUUUGUUUCCGGACCAUUCCGGAAACCCUCGUGACGUCCGUGAUCUCAUCUGGGACUCCGAACAACAUUCGGUAACCAACCAUAUAACUCAAAUACGCAUAAAACAACGUCGAACCUUAAGUGUGCAGGCCCUGCGGGUUCGAGAACUAUGUAGACAUGACCCGAGAGACUCCUCGGUCAAUAUCCAAUAGCGGGACCUGGAUGCCCAUAUUGGAUCCUACAUAUUCUACGAAGAUCUUAUCCUUUGAACCUCAGUGCCAAGGAUUCAUAUAAUCCCGUAUGUCAUUCCCUUUGUCCUUCGGUAUGUUACUUGCCUGAGAUUCGAUCGUCAGUAUCCGCAUACCUAUUUCAAUCUCGUUUACCGGCAAGUCUCUUUACUCGUUCCGUAAUACAAGAUCCCGCAACUUACACUAAGUCACAUUGCUUGCAAGGCUUGUGUGUGAUGUUGUAUUACCGAGUGGGCCCCGAGAUACCUCUCCGUCAUACGGAGUGACAAAUCCCAGUCUUGAUCCAUACUAACUCAACGAACACCUUCGGAGAUACCUGUAGAGAAUCUUUAUAGUCACCCAGUUACGUUGCGAUGUUUGAUACACACAAAGCAUUCCUCCGGUUUCAGUGAGUUAUAUGAUCUCAUGGUCAUAGGAACAAAUACUUGACACGCAGAAAACAGUAGCAACAAAAUGACAUGAUCAACAUGCUACGUCUAUUAGUUUGGGUCUAGUCCAUCACAUGAUUCUCCUAAUGAUGUGAUCCCGUUAUCAAGUAACAACACUUGCCUAUGGCGAGGAAACCUUGACCAUCUUUGAUCAACGAUCUAGUCAACUAGAGGCUUACUAGGGACAGUGUUUUGUCUAUGUAUCCACACAAGUAUUGUGUUUCCAAUCAAUACAAUUAUAGCAUGGAUAAUAAACGAUUAUCAUGAACAAAGAAAUAUAAUAAUAACUAAUUAUUAUUGCCUCUAGGGCAUACUUCCAACAUUUUGUUGCCGCAACAACUGUCAAUGCUCAUAUUGAUUGUGAGAAGCAAACUGUCACUGUUGGCUUUGAAGGUGUGUCACACGAGUUCAAUUUCUCUAAGUUUGGUAGACAACCUCAUGAAAAGGAGUUGCCUGGUAGGGAUAAAACUAUUGCCUUAGCUUCUAUUGUCGUACCUCCUACUGAUCCCUUAGAGCAAUACUUGCUUGAGCAUGAAAAUGAUAUGCAUAUGGAUGAAAUGGAUGAGAUAGAUAGAGUUGUCUUAGAACAAAAUCCUAUCCUUAAGAAUAACUUGCUUGUUGAACUGCUUGGGGAUCCACCCCCACCAAAGGGUGAUCAUGUGUUCGAGCUUAAACAGUUGCCUGAUACUCUUAAGUAUGCUUAUCUUGAUGAAAAAGAGAUAUAUCCUGUUAUUAUUAGUGCUAGCCUCUCAGAGUAUGAAGAAAAGAAGUUACUAAAAACUCUGAGGAAGCACCGUGCUGCUAUUGGAUAUACUCUUGAUGAUCUUAAGGGCAUUAGUCCUACUCUAUGCCAGCACAAGAUUAAAACUGAUCCCGAUUUCAAACCAGUCGUUGAUCAUCAAAGGAGAUUAAAUCCUAAGAUGAAAGAGUUAGUGAGAAAAGAAACACUAAAGCUUCUGGAAGCGGGUAUUAUCUAUCAUGUUGCUCAUAGUGAUUGGGUGAGUCCGGUGCAUUGCGUCCCUAAGAAGGGAGGCAUUACAGUUGUCCCUAAUGAUAAGGAUGAAUUGAUCCCACAGAGGAUUAUUACUGGCUAUAGGAUGGUGAUCGACUUUAGGAAAUUGAAUAAAGCCACUAGGAAAGAUCAUUACCCUUUGUCUUUUAUCGACCAAAUGCUAGAAAGACUAUCUAAACACACACACUUCUACUUUCUAGACGGUUAUUCUGGUUUCUCCCAAAUACCAGUUGUACAAUCUGACCAGGAGAAAACCACUUUCACCUGCCCUUUCGCUACCUUUGCUUAUAGACGUAUGCCUUUUGGCUUAUGUAAUGCAUUUGCCACCUUUCAAAGAUGUAUGAUGGCUAUAUUCUCUGACUUUGGUGAAAAGAUUGUUGAGGUUUUCAUGGAUGACUUCUCCGUUUACGGGUCUUCCUUUGAUGAUUGCCUCAGCAACCUUGAUCGAGUCUUGCAAAGAUGUAAAGACACCAAACUUGUCUUGAAUUGGGAGAAGUGCCACUUUAUGGUUAAUGAAGGCAUCGUUUUAGGACAUAAAAUUUCUGAAAGAGGUAUUGAAGUCGAUAAGGCUAAGGUUGAUGCAAUCGAGAAAAUGCCAUACCCCACAAAUAUCAAAGGUAUAAGAAGUUUCCUUGGUCAUGCUGGUUUCUAUAGAAGGUUCAUUAAAGACUUCUCUAAGAUUUCUAGGCCUCUUACCAAUCUCUUGCAAAAGGAUAUUCCUUUUGUCUUUGACAAUGAUUGUGAGGAAGCCUUAGAAAUACUUAAGAGGGCUUUGAUACCAGCACCUAUUGUUCAACCACCUGAUUGGAACUUGCCUUUUGAGAUCAUGUGUGAUGCUAGUGAUUAUGCUGUUGGUGGUGUUCUAGGACAAAGAGUUGAUAAGAAGUUGAAUGUUAUUCACUAUGCUAGUAAAACUCUAGAUAGUGCCCAAAGAAACUAUGCCACUACGGAAAAGGAGUUUUUAGCAGUCGUGUUUGCAUGUGAAAAGUUCAGGUCUUACAUAGUUGAUUCCAAAGUCACUAUUCACACUGAUCACGCUCCUAUUAAGUACCUCAUGGAGAAGAAGGACGCUAAACCUAGACUUAUCAGAUGGGUUCUCUUGCUACAAGAAUUUGAUUUGCACGUUGUCGACAGAAAGGGUGCUGAUAACACCGUAGCAGAUAACUUGUCUAGGUUGGAGAACGUUCUUGAUGACCCACAACCUAUUGAUGAUAGCUUUCCCGAUGAGCAAUUGAAUGUCAUCAAUACUUCACGUAGUGCACCGUGGUAUGCCGAUUAUGCAAACUAUAUCGUUGCCAAAUAUAUACAACCUAGUUUCACAUACCAGCAAAAGAAGAAGUUCUUCUUUGACUUGAGGCAUUACUUUUGGGAUGAUCCUCACCUUUAUAAGGAAGGAGUAGAUGGUGUUAUUAGACGUUGUGUACCUAAACAUGAACAGAGACAGAUCCUACAGAAGUGUCACUCCGAGGCCUACGGAGGACACCAUGCAGGAGAUAGAACUGCACAUAAGGUAUUGCAAUCAGGUUUCUGUUGGCCCACUCUCUUCAAGGAUGCCCGUAAGUUUGUCUUGUCUUGUGACGAAUGUCAAAGAAUAGGUAAUAUCGGUAAACGUCAGGAAAUGCCUAUGAACUAUUCACUUGUCAUUGAACCAUUUGAUGUUUGGGGCUUUGAUUAUAUGGGACCUUUUCCAAAAUCCAACGGGUAAACUCACAUCUUAGUUGCUGUUGAUUACGUCACUAAGUGGGUAGAAGCUAUCCCCACUAGUAGUGCUGAUCACAACACUUCUAUCAGGAUGCUUAAAGAAGUUAUUUUCCCUAGAUUUGGAGUCCCUAGAUAUCUAAUGACCAACGGUGGUUCACAUUUCAUUCAUGGUGCUUUCCGUAAAACGCUUGCUAAGUACGAUGUCAACCAUAGAAUUGUGUCUCCCUAUCACCCUCAGUCCAGUGGUCAAGUAGAGCUAAGCAAUAGAGAGAUUAAACUAAUUCUGCAAAAGACUGUCAACAGGUCUAGAAAGAAUUGUCUAAGAAGCUCGAUGAUGCACUGUGGGCUUAUAGAACUUCCUAUAAGAAUCCCAUGGGCAUGUCUUCGUACAAAAUGGUGUACGGUAAAUCAUGUGAUUUACCUCUUGAGCUAGAGCAUAAAGCUUAUUGGGCAAUCAAAGAGCUCAACUUUGAUUUCAAACUUUCCGGUGAGAAGAGGUUAUUUGACAUUAGCACGCUUGAUGAAUGGAGAACUCAGGCAUAUGAGAAUGCCAAGUUGUUCAAAGAGAAGGUUAAGAGGUGGCAUGAUAAGAGGAUACAAAAGCGUGAGUUCAAUGUAGGUGAUUAUGUCUUGCUAUAUAACUCUCGUUUAAGAUUCUUUGCAGGCAAGCUUCUCUCUAAAUGGGAAGGUCCCUAUGUUGUUGAGGAAGUAUAUCGUUCCGGUGCUAUAAAGAUCAACAACAUGGAAGGCAAUUGUCCGAGAGAUGUAAAUGGGCAGAGAAUCAAGCAUUAUAUCUCAGGUACUCCCAUAAAUGUUGAAAGCAAUAUCAUCAAUACCAUAACUCCGGAAGAUUACCUAAGGGACAUUUAUCAGCUUGUUUUAGACUCCGAAAACGAAGAGGUAUGUGAUUCGGUAAGAAAACAAAGUCCAAAACUUUUCCAGUAGGAAAUUUUCUCCGUUUUGGAAUUUUUGAAAAAAUAAAAAAUUGGAAGUAGUCCGGAAAGUGCGCGAGGAGGCGACAAGCCUGCCCGGCACUGGCCCACUCCCUGGCCGCGCCUGGGGGCUUGUGGCCACCUCGUGCGCCUCCCGGACUCCGUUUUCGUGCGGAAUACUCCUUCUGGUCUGGAAAAAAUCAAUAUAUAUUCUCACGUUUGGUCUGACCCCUGUAUCACGCAGAUUUCCUCUGUUUUUCGUUUCGAGCCUGUUUUUGUUGCAGACCUAGAUCGCUAUGACUUCCCCAAAAGCUCCGAAGGACAAGAUCUUCGAGAAGGUCAUCAACCCCUACCUCACGGGAGUGCUGCAACACCCUCAAUCUAUCGAGAUGCAUGAGGGGAUGUUGCACAUCCGUGAUGUUGAGGGGCCCAAGAAGACCGGAAGCGUGGAGACGAGGCUCGAAGCAAUGGAACAACAAGUCUUCAAGUGCCAGGGGAUGGUGGAGUGUGGACUCAACGCCAACCACAUGAUGAUCACGGAGUUCACCAACAAGCACAGGAUUGAUGCCAAUGACAUUGGGAAGCACCUCUCCACGCUCUAUGACAUGAUUGAUCAACUCCAGGCCCAGAUCUAUGACCUGCAGAACCAAAACUGUGAGUAUGAGUAUAGAUUUAAAUCAAUACGGUUGGCUGCAGAUUUGAGGAUUCCGGAGACUCGUUCAUCUUUCCAUGAUGGAGCACCUAUGCCUUGGAAGACGGAGGAUCAAACCCUUGUUACAAAAACUCCACCACCAUCACCUCCAAAGGAAGACAACUAAACAUGGGUAUGGGCAACCCCCUUGGCUUGUGCCAAGCUUGGGGGAGUUGCCCCGGUAUCGUAUCACCAUCACUUCUUCUGCCUUUACCUUUGUUUCAGUUUUCUUUUUCUCUAGUAGAUUAAAAGUCUUAGUGUUUUGGUCUUGAGUUUUGCUUUGUGUCACCCCCGAUGUAUUCGAGCUCGUGAGCCAUAUAAUAAAGAGUGUCUUAGUUGAAGGGUUUUGCCUCUUGCCAUGAUCAAAAGAGCGAGAAAAGAACAAAAGCAUGAAAGAUCAUGUAAUGAUCUUAUGGGAAGUGAUGGCUUCACAUAUAAAAGGGAUGAUGAUUGAAACUUGUUGAGGGUAGACAAACGUAGACCUUGGUCAUUGUUGCAAUUAAUAGGAAGUGAUAAAGAAGGAGAGGUUCACAUAUAAAUACAUCAUCUUUGACACCAUCUAUGAUUGUGAAUACUCACUAAACUAUUGCAUGCCUAGAAGUAGAUGUUGGACAAGGAAGACAACAUAAUGAAUUGUGUUUGCUUGGUUCCGAACAAUGUUAUAUGAUUAGAGAUCCCUUAGCAUGUGACGAUUGCUUCCACCUCAUAUUAGCCAAAACUCCCGCACCAAGUAGAGAUACUACUUGUGUAUCCAUAAACCUUCAACCCAGUCUUGCCAUGAGAGUCCACCAUACCUACCUCUGGAUUGAAUAAGAUCCCUCAAGUAAGUUGUCAUCGAUGCAAGCAAUAAAAAUUUCUCUCUAAUAUGUAUGAUCUAUUAGUGUGUGGAAAAUAAGUUUUAUACGAACCUGUGAUGAGGAAGACAUAAAAGCGACAGACUACAUAAUAAAGUUCUUUAUCACAGGAGGCAAUAUAAAGUGACGUUCCUUCGCACUAAGAGGACACGCAUCCAAACCUCAAAAGCGCAUGACAACCUGUGCUUCCCUCUGCGAAGGGCCUAUCUUGUACCUUUGCUUUUUGCCCCUGAAAGAGUCAUGGUGAUCUUCACCAAUUCCCUAUUUCGCCUUUAUCUUGGCUACCGUCAUAUGCUUGGGAAAGAUCUAUAUUCAUAUGUCAACUUGGAGGUAAGUAUUCAUGAAUUAUUAUUGUUGACAUUACCCUUGAGGUAAGCAGUUGGCAGGCAAAACUAUAAGCCCCUAUCUUUCUCUGUGUCCAGCUGAAACUUUGAUCUCAUCAGUACCACGUGAGUUGUAGCAAUUGUAGAGAAUGAAAAGAUGAUUGAGUAUGUGGAUUUGCUUUACAAGCUCUUAUUUGCCUCUUUCUGAUGUUGUGAUAAAUUGCAAUUGCUUCCAUGACUACAGGCUAUUGGUUGUUACUUCUCGGUAAGGUUCAUGAUCCAUGCUUUACUUUGUGAAGGAAUUAUCACUUUAGCAUGAGAGAUUAUAUGUUGGUAUUGUUGUUCUGAUCACAAUCAUGAUGCAUGCAUGUUCGUAUUCUGUUUUGUCGACACCUCUCUCGCUAAACAUGUGGACAUAUUUAUUGAGCUCGGCUUUCGCUUGAGGACAAGCGAGGUCUAAGCUUGGGGGAGUUGAUACGCCCAUUUUGCAUCAUGUUUUCAUUUUGAUAUUUAUCGCUUCUUGGGCUAUUAUUUCACUUCACGGGACAAUACUUAUGCCUUUUCUCUCUUAUUUUGCAAGGUUUACAUGAAGAGGGAGAAUGCCGGCAGCUGGAAUUCUAGCCUGAAAGUGGAGCAAGUUUGAGAUACCUANAAUACUCCUUCUGGUCUGGAAAAAAUCAAUAUAUAUUCUCACGUUUGGUCUGACCCCUGUAUCACGCAGAUUUCCUCUGUUUUUCGUUUCGAGCCUGUUUUUGUUGCAGACCUAGAUCGCUAUGACUUCCCCAAAAGCUCCGAAGGACAAGAUCUUCGAGAAGGUCAUCAACCCCUACCUCACGGGAGUGCUGCAACACCCUCAAUCUAUCGAGAUGCAUGAGGGGAUGUUGCACAUCCGUGAUGUUGAGGGGCCCAAGAAGACCGGAAGCGUGGAGACGAGGCUCGAAGCAAUGGAACAACAAGUCUUCAAGUGCCAGGGGAUGGUGGAGUGUGGACUCAACGCCAACCACAUGAUGAUCACGGAGUUCACCAACAAGCACAGGAUUGAUGCCAAUGACAUUGGGAAGCACCUCUCCACGCUCUAUGACAUGAUUGAUCAACUCCAGGCCCAGAUCUAUGACCUGCAGAACCAAAACUGUGAGUAUGAGUAUAGAUUUAAAUCAAUACGGUUGGCUGCAGAUUUGAGGAUUCCGGAGACUCGUUCAUCUUUCCAUGAUGGAGCACCUAUGCCUUGGAAGACGGAGGAUCAAACCCUUGUUACAAAAACUCCACCACCAUCACCUCCAAAGGAAGACAACUAAACAUGGGUAUGGGCAACCCCCUUGGCUUGUGCCAAGCUUGGGGGAGUUGCCCCGGUAUCGUAUCACCAUCACUUCUUCUGCCUUUACCUUUGUUUCAGUUUUCUUUUUCUCUAGUAGAUUAAAAGUCUUAGUGUUUUGGUCUUGAGUUUUGCUUUGUGUCACCCCCGAUGUAUUCGAGCUCGUGAGCCAUAUAAUAAAGAGUGUCUUAGUUGAAGGGUUUUGCCUCUUGCCAUGAUCAAAAGAGCGAGAAAAGAACAAAAGCAUGAAAGAUCAUGUAAUGAUCUUAUGGGAAGUGAUGGCUUCACAUAUAAAAGGGAUGAUGAUUGAAACUUGUUGAGGGUAGACAAACGUAGACCUUGGUCAUUGUUGCAAUUAAUAGGAAGUGAUAAAGAAGGAGAGGUUCACAUAUAAAUACAUCAUCUUUGACACCAUCUAUGAUUGUGAAUACUCACUAAACUAUUGCAUGCCUAGAAGUAGAUGUUGGACAAGGAAGACAACAUAAUGAAUUGUGUUUGCUUGGUUCCGAACAAUGUUAUAUGAUUAGAGAUCCCUUAGCAUGUGACGAUUGCUUCCACCUCAUAUUAGCCAAAACUCCCGCACCAAGUAGAGAUACUACUUGUGUAUCCAUAAACCUUCAACCCAGUCUUGCCAUGAGAGUCCACCAUACCUACCUCUGGAUUGAAUAAGAUCCCUCAAGUAAGUUGUCAUCGAUGCAAGCAAUAAAAAUUUCUCUCUAAUAUGUAUGAUCUAUUAGUGUGUGGAAAAUAAGUUUUAUACGAACCUGUGAUGAGGAAGACAUAAAAGCGACAGACUACAUAAUAAAGUUCUUUAUCACAGGAGGCAAUAUAAAGUGACGUUCCUUCGCACUAAGAGGACACGCAUCCAAACCUCAAAAGCGCAUGACAACCUGUGCUUCCCUCUGCGAAGGGCCUAUCUUGUACCUUUGCUUUUUGCCCCUGAAAGAGUCAUGGUGAUCUUCACCAAUUCCCUAUUUCGCCUUUAUCUUGGCUACCGUCAUAUGCUUGGGAAAGAUCUAUAUUCAUAUGUCAACUUGGAGGUAAGUAUUCAUGAAUUAUUAUUGUUGACAUUACCCUUGAGGUAAGCAGUUGGCAGGCAAAACUAUAAGCCCCUAUCUUUCUCUGUGUCCAGCUGAAACUUUGAUCUCAUCAGUACCACGUGAGUUGUAGCAAUUGUAGAGAAUGAAAAGAUGAUUGAGUAUGUGGAUUUGCUUUACAAGCUCUUAUUUGCCUCUUUCUGAUGUUGUGAUAAAUUGCAAUUGCUUCCAUGACUACAGGCUAUUGGUUGUUACUUCUCGGUAAGGUUCAUGAUCCAUGCUUUACUUUGUGAAGGAAUUAUCACUUUAGCAUGAGAGAUUAUAUGUUGGUAUUGUUGUUCUGAUCACAAUCAUGAUGCAUGCAUGUUCGUAUUCUGUUUUGUCGACACCUCUCUCGCUAAACAUGUGGACAUAUUUAUUGAGCUCGGCUUUCGCUUGAGGACAAGCGAGGUCUAAGCUUGGGGGAGUUGAUACGCCCAUUUUGCAUCAUGUUUUCAUUUUGAUAUUUAUCGCUUCUUGGGCUAUUAUUUCACUUCACGGGACAAUACUUAUGCCUUUUCUCUCUUAUUUUGCAAGGUUUACAUGAAGAGGGAGAAUGCCGGCAGCUGGAAUUCUAGCCUGAAAGUGGAGCAAGUUUGAGAUACCUAUUCUGCGCAACUCCAUACGCCGUAAAAAUCAACGAGGAUUUUUUCCGGAUUUAUAAAAAAUACUAGGCCGAAGAAGCGCCAGAGGGGCGCCAGCACAUGGCCACAAGCCUGCUAGGAGCGGCCACCCCCCUGGUCGCGCCUAGGGGGCUUGUGGGCAGCCUGCUGGCCCACUGGCCCCCCCUCUUCUGCUAUAUGAAGGGUUUCGUCCAGAAAAAAAAUCAGAGAGGAGCUUUUUCGUGGAUUCGCCGCUGCCACAAGGCGGAACUUGAGCAGAACCAAUCUAGAGCUUCGGCAGGACGAUCUUGCCGGGGAAACCUCCCUCCCGGAGGGGGAAAUCGUCGCCAUCGUCAUCACCAACACUCCUCUCAUCGGAGGGGACUCAUCACCAUCAACAUCUUCAUCAGCACCAUCUCAUCUCCAAACCCUAGUUCAUCACUUGUAACCAAUCUCCGUCUCGCGACUUUGAUUGGUACUUGUAAGGUUGCUAGUAGUGUUAAUUACUCUUUGUAGUUGAUGCUAGUUGGAUUAUUUGGUGGAAGAGUUUAUGUUCAGAUCCUUGAUGCUACUCAUUACCUCUCUCGUCUUGAAUAUGAUUAUGCUUUGUGAGUAGUUACUUUUGUUCGUGAGGACAUGGGAUAAGUCAUGCUAAUAGUAGUCAUGUGAAUUUGGUAUUUGUUCGAUAUUUUGAUGUGUUGUAUGUUGUUUUUCCUCUAGUGGUGUUAUGUGAACGUCGACUACAUAACACUUCACCAUUAUUUGGACCUAGAGGAAGGCAUUGGGAAGUAGUAAGUAUAUGAUGGGUUGCUAGAGUGACAGAAGCUUAAACCCUAGUUUAUGCGUUACUUCGUAAGGGGCUGAUUUGGAUCCACUAGUUUAAUGCUAUGGUUAGACUUUGUCUUAAUUCUUCUUUCGUAGUUGCGGAUGCUUGCGAGAGGGGUUAACCAUAAGUGGGAUGCUUGUCCAAGUAAGGGCAGUACCCAAGCGCCGGUCCACCCACAUAUCAAACUAUCAAAGUAACGAACGCGAAUCAUAUGAACAUGAUGAAAACUAGCAUGACAAAAUUCCCGUGUGUCGUCGGGAGCGUUUUUCCUCCUAUAAGACUUUGUCCAGGCUUGUCCCUUGCUACAAAAGGGAUUGGGCCACUUUGCUGCAUCGUUGCUACUUUUGUUACUUGUUGCUCGCUACGAAUCAUCUCAUCGCACAAUCACUUGUUACCGAUAAUUUCAGUGCUUGCACAUAUUUCCUUGCUGAAAACCACUUGUCAGAUCCUUCUGCACCUCGUUGGGUUCGACACUCUUACUUAUCGAAAGGACUACGAUUGAUCCCUUAUACUUGUGGGUCAUCAUGUACGUGCAUACGGUGCAAACCGAUUCUCAUAAUCUUCACCAAGUAAUCUGUUGUAGUAGUCUUUGCACUUCUGAUCCUGUGCUAUUUCCGCUGCACGUAAGUCAUCAGCGAGGAAUUUCCUUAGUGAUGAAAUUCUAAAAAUCGCCUAUUCACCCCCCUCUAGUCGACAUAACGUACUUUCAAUUGGUAUCAGAGCAAGUUACUCCCUUGUUCUAUGUGAUUUUGGUUUAACCACUUGGACUUUUAGUUAUGUCGACUGCAGGUAUGAUCAAGGUUACUGCAGGAUGUCCUAUCUUUGAAGGAAAGGACUUUCCCUACUGGAAGACCAAGAUGCAGAUGCAUCUUCAGGCUAUUGACAAUGAUCUCUGCUACAUUGUGGAACAUGGUAUUCCCUCCAUCGCUGCUACUGUCUCUACCGCUGAUGUGAAGAAAUUCAAGCAACUUGAUUCUUAAGCGAAUAAUAUCAUCUGUGGCCAUCUGAGAAAGAUCGGUAUGGCAGAGUGAGUGCUUUGGGCACAGCUAAGCUUAUCUGGGAUAAGCUGUCCAAAGUCAAUGAAGGAAUUUCACCUGAGCGCGGCUCUCGUGUUGAUGUUCUUCGCAAUCUAUUCAAGAGGCUUGACAAUGAAAGCUGCCAAGAUACCUUUAAUCGCCUCACUGAAUGUUGGGGAACGUCGCAUGGGAAACAAAAAUUUUCCUACGCGCACGAAGACCUAUCAUGGUGAUGUCCAUCUACGAGAGGGGAUUUCCGAUCUACGGACCCUUGUAGAUCACACAGCAGAAGCGUUAGUGAACGCGGUUGAUGUAGUGGAACAUCCUCACGUCCCUCGAUCCGCCCCGCGAACCGUCCCACGAACCGUCCCGCGAUCCGUCCCACGAUCAAGUGCCGAACGGACGGCACCUCCGCGUUCAUCACACGUACAGCUCGACGAUGAUCUCGGCCUUCUUGAUCCAGCAAGAGAGAUGAGAGGUAGAUGACUUCUUCGGCAGCGUGACAGCGCUCCGGAGGUUGGUGGAAUUCUAAUCUCAGCAGGGCUCCGCCCGAGCUCCGCAGAAACGCGAUCUAGAGGAAAAACCGUGGAGGUAUGUGGUCGGGCUGCCGUGGCAAAAGUUGUCUCAAAUCAGCCCUAAUAGCUCCAUAUAUAUAUAGGAGGAGGGAGGGGAGGCUUGCCUUGAGGCUCAAGGAGCCCCAAGGGCUGCGCACUAAGGGGAGGAGGAGUCCUCCUCCAAUCCUAGUCCAACUAGGAUUGGAAGGUGGAGUCCUUCUCUUCUUUCCCACCUUUCCUUUUUUUUAUCUUCUUUUGGUUUUUCUUUCUCUCUUGCGCAAGACAGCCUUGGGCUGACCCCACCAACUUGGUGCGCCACCCCCAAGGUCCUUGGGCCCUCCCGGGUUGGUGGUCCCCCCUCCCGGUGAAGAUCCGGAACCCAUUCGUCAUUCCCGGUACAUUACCGGUAAUGCCCAAAAACCUUCCGGUAACCAAAUGAAGUCAUCCUAUAUAUCAAUCUUCGUUUCCGGACCAUUUCGGAAACCCUCGAGACGUCCGUGAUCUCAUCCUGGACUCUGAACAACAUUCGGUAACCAACCAUAUAACUCAAAUACGCAUAAAACAACGUCGAACCUUAAGUGUGCACACCCUGCGGGUUCGAGAACUAUGUAGACAUGACCCGAGUGACUCCUCGGUCAAUAUCCAAUAGCGGGACCUGGAUGCCCAUAUUGGAUCCUACAUAUUCUACGAAGAUCUUAUUGUUUGAACCUCAGUGCCAAGGAUUCAUAUAAUCCCGUAUGUCAUUCCCUUUGUCCUUCGGUAUGUUACUUACCCGAGAUUCGAUCGUCAGUAUCCGCAUACCUAUUUCAAUCUCAUUUACCGGCAAGUCUCUUUACUCGUUCCGUAAUACAAGAUCCCGCAACUUACACUAAGUCACAUUGCUUGCAAGGCUUGUGUGUGAUGUUGUAUUAUCGAGUGGGCCCCGAGAUACCUCUCUGUCACACGGAGUGACAAAUCCCAGUCUCGAUCCAUACUAACUCAACGAACACCUUCGGAGAUACCUGUAGAGUAUCUUUAUAGUCACCCAGUUACGUUGCGACGUUUGAUACACACAAAUCAUUCCUCCGGUGUCAGUGAGUUAUAUGAUCUCAUGGUCAUAGGAACAAAUACUUGACAUGCAGAAAACAGUAGCAACAAAAUGACACGAUCAACAUGCUACGUCUAUUUGUUUGGGUCUAAUCCAUCAAAUGAUUCUCCUAAUGAUGUGAUCCCGUUAUCAAGUGACAACACUUGCCUAUGGUCAGGAAACCUUGACCAUCUUUGAUCAACGAGCUAGUCAACUAGAGGCUUACUAGGGACAGUGUUUUGUCUAUGUAUCCACACAUGCACUGUGUUUCCAAUCAAUACAUUUAUAGCAUGGAUAAUAAAGGAUUAUCAUGAACAAAGAAAUAUAAUAAUAACUAAUUUAUUAUUGCCUCUAGGGUAUAUUUCCAACAGUCUCCCACUUGCACUAGAGUCAAUGAUAUAGUUCACAUCACCAUGUGAUUCCAACGAAUCCAACACCCAUAUAGUUCUGGGGUCUGAUCACGUCUCGCUCGUGAGAAAGGUUUUAGUCAACGGUUCUGAAACUUUCAGAUCCGGGUGUUCUUUACAAAUCUUUGUGUCAUCUUAUAGAUGCUGCUACUAUGUGCUAUUCGGAAAUACUCCAAAUAUCUACUCUACUAUACGAAUCCGUUUCACUACUCAUAGUUAUUCGGAUUGGUGUCAAAGCUUGCAUCGACGUAACCCUUUACGACGAACUCUUUAACCACCUCCAUAAUCGAAGAAAAAAUUCCUUAGUCCAUCAGUUACUACGGAUAAAUUUUGACCGCUGCUAGUGAUUCAAUCAUGGAUCACUCUCUGUACCUCUCAACAGACUUUGAGUCAAGGCACACAUCAGGUGCGGUACUCAGCAUGGCAUACUUCAGAUUCUACGGCCAAGGCAUAGAAGACGACCUUCGUCUAUUCUCUUUAUUCUAUCGGGGUCAGGUUUUGAGUCUUACUCAAAUUCACACCUUAUAACACAACCAAGAACUCCUUCUUUGCUGAUCUAUUUUGAACUCCUUCAAAGAUUUGUCAAGGCAUGCAUCUUGUUGAAACUUCUAUUAAGCGCUUUCGAUCUAUCUCCAUAGAUCUUUGAUGCUCAACGUUCAAGUAGCGCAAUCCAGGUAUUCCUUUUGAAAAACUCCUUUCAAACAACCUUGUAUGCUUUACAGAAAUUCUACAUUACUUCUGAUCCAGAAUAUGUCAACCACAUAUACUUAUCAGAAAUUCUAAACUGCUCCCACUCACUUCUUUGGAAAUACAAGUUUCUCAUAAACCUUGUACAAACCCAAAAUCUUUUAUCAUAUCAUCAAAGUGUAUAUUCCAACUCCGAGAUGCUUGCACCAGUCCAUUGAAGGAUCGCUGGAGCUUGCAUACUUGCUAGUAUAUUUAGGAUCGACAAAACCUCCUGGUUGUAUCACAUACAAUGUUUGCUCAAGGAAACCGUCGAGGAAACAAUGUUUUGACAUCCUAUGUGCAAUAUUUCAUAAAUAAUGCAGCAACUACUAACAUAAUUCUAACAGACUUUUUGCAUCGCUACGAGUGAGAAAGUCUCAUCAUAGUCAAUUGUUUGAUCUUGUCGGAAACAUCUUUGCGACAAGUCGAGCUUUUCUUAAUAGUGACUUAUCACCAUCAUCAUCUGUCUUCCUUUUAAAGAUCCAUCUUUACUCAAUAGUCCUAUGACCAUCAAGUAGUUCUUCCAAAGUCUACACUUUGUUUUCAUACAUGGAUCCUCUCUCGGAUUUCAUGGCCUCCAGCCAUUUGUCGGAAUCCGGGCCCACCAUUGCUUUCUCCAUAACUCGUAGGUUCAUUGUUGCUCAACAACAUGACCUCCAAGACAGGGUUACUGUACCACUCCGCAGUAGUACGCGACCUAGUCAACCUACAAGGUUUGUAGUAACUUGAUCCGAUGCUCGAUGAUCACCAUCAUCAGCUUUCACUUCCAUUGGUGUAGGCGCCACAGGAACAACUUCCUGCGCCCUGCUACACACUGGUUGAAGUGAUGGUUCAAUAACCUCAUCAAGUUCUACCACCCUCCCACUCAAUUCUUUCGAGAGAAACCUUUCCUCGAGAAAGGAUCCGUUUCUAGAAACAAACACUUUGCUUUCGGAUCUGAGAUAGGAGAUGUACCCAACUGUUUUGGAUAUCCUAUGAAGAUGCAUUUAUCCACUUUGGGUUCGAGCUUAUCAGACUGAAACUUUUUCACAUAAGUGUCGAAGCCCCAAACUUUCAAGAAACAACAGUUUAGAUUUCUCUAAACCUCAGUCUAUACUGUGUCAUCUCAACGGAAAUACGCGGUGCCCUAUUUAAAGUGAAUGCGGUUGUCUGUAAUGCAUAACCCAUAAACGAUAGUGGUAAUUCGAUAAGAGACAUCAUAGCAUGCACCAUACCUCUUAACAAGGGCACAAGCAUGAAAUCACAAUUUCAUCUCUUUAGAACAUCUCUUAUGUUCCGUGACGUUUCAAAACGUCUUCGGUGCCUUGCUUCUAAGGCAUUAAGUAUUUUGUACUGAACUAUCGUGUAGUCAUCAGAAACGUGUAUGUCGGAUGAUCACAACAUCUACAGACGACUCUCGAGGUGCAGCACACCGAGUGGUGUAUUAAGGACAUAAGCCUUGCGCAGCAACGAGGACAAUCCUCGGUUUUACAGACUCAGUCUGCAAAGUUUGCUACUAUCAACUUUCAACUAAAUUUUCUCUAGGAACAUAUAAAAACAGUAGAGCUAUAGCGCAAGCUACAUCGUAAUUCGCAAAGACCAUUAGACUGUGUUCAUGAAAAUUAGUUCAAUUAAUCAUAUUACUCAAGAACUCCCACUCAAAAAGUACAUCUCUCUAGUCAUUUGAGUGGUACAUGAUCCAAAUCCACUAUCUCAAGUCUGAUCAUCACGUGAGUCCAGAAUAGUUUCAGUGGUAAGCAUCUCUAUGCUAAUCAUAUCAACUAUACGAUUCAUGCUCGACCUUUCUGUCUCAUGUGUUCCGAGGCCAUGUCUGCACAUGCUAGGCUCGUCAAGCUUAACCCGAGUGUUCCGCGUGUGCAACUGUUUUGCACCCGUUGUAUGUGAACGUUGAGUCUAUCACACCCGAUCAUCACGUGGUGUCUCGAAACGAAGAACUGUCGCGACGGUGCACAGUCGGGGAGAACACAAUUUCCUCUUGAAAUUUAAGUGAGAGAUCACCUCAUAAUGCUACCGUCGUUCUAAGCAAGAUAAGGUGCAUAAAGGAUUAACAUCACAUGCAAUUCAUAAGUGAUAUGAUAUGGCCAUCAUCAUGUGCUUCUUGAUCUCCAUCACCAAAGCACCGGUACGAUCUUCUUGUCAUCGGCGUCACACCAUGAUCUCCAUCAUCAUGAUCUCCAUCAACGCGUCGCCAUCGGGGUUGUCGUGCUACUCAUGCUAUUACUACUAAAGCUACGUCCUAGCAAUAUAGUAAACGCAUCUGCAAGCACAAACGUUAGUUUAAAGACAACCCUAUGGUUCCUGCCGGUUGCCGUACCAUCAACGUGCAAGUCGAUAUUAACUAUUACAACAUGAUCAUCUCAUACAUCCAAUAUAUCACAUCACAUCGUUGGCCAUAUCACAUCACAAGCAUACCCCACAAAAACAAGUUAGACGUCCUCUAAUUGUUGUUGCAUGUUUUACGUGGUGACCAUGGGUAUCUAGUAGGAUCGCAUCUUACUUACGCAAACACCACAACGGAGAUAUAUGAAUUACUAUUUAACCUCAUCCAAGGACCUCCUCGGUCAAUUUCGAUUCAACUAAAGUUGGAGAAACCGACACCCGCGAGUCAUCUUUGAGCAACGGAGUUACUCGUAGCGAUGAAACCAGUCUCUCGUAAGUGUACGAGUAAUGUCGGUCCGAGCCGCUUCGAUCCAACAAUACCGCGGAAUCAAGAAAAGACUAAGGAGGGCAGCAAGACGCACAUCACCACCCACAAAAACUUUUGUGUUCUACUCGAGAUUACAUCUACGCAUGAACCUAGCUCUGAUACCACUGUUGGGGAACGUCGCAUGGGAAACAAAAAAUUUCCUACAUGCACGAAGACCUAUCAUGGUGAUGUCUAUCUACGAGAGGGGAUUUCCAAUCUACGUACCCUUGUAGAUCGCACAGUAGAAGCGUUAGUGAACGCGGUUGAUGUAGUGGAACGUCCUCACGUCCCUCGAUCCGCCCCACGAACCGUCCCGCGAUCCGUCCCAUGAUCAAGUGCCGAAUGGACGGCACCUCCGCGUUCAGCACACGUACAGCUCGACGAUGAUCUCGGCCUUCUUGAUCCAGCAAGAGAGACGGAGAGCUAGAUGACUUCUCCGGCAGCGUGACGGUGCUCCGGAGGUUGGUGGUGAUCUAAUCUCAGCAGGGCUCCGCCCGAGCUCCGCAGAAACGCGAUCUAGAGGAAAAACCGUGGAGGUAUGUGGUCGGGCUACCGUGGCAAAAGUUGUCUCAAAUCAGCCCUAAUAGCUCCAUAUAUAUAGGAGGAGGGAGGGGAGGCUUGCCUUGAGGCUCAAGGAGCCCCAAGGGCUGCGCACCAAGGGGAGGAGGAGUCCUCCUCCAAUCCUAGUCCAACUAGGAUUGGAAGGUGGAGUCCUUCUCUUCUUUCCCACCUUUCCUUUUUUUCUCUUCUUUUGGUUUUUCUUUCUCUCUUGCGCAAGACAGCCUUGGGUUGACCCCACCUACUUGGUGCGCCACCCCCAAGGUCCUUGGGCCCUUCCGGGUGGGUGGUCCGCCCUCCCAAAUUUAUUAUUGCCUCUAGGGCAUAUUUCCAAUAGUGACAUCUCAAAUGAAUUGCAAGCACUAGGAACUCGAGACAUCAUUGACCAUGAAGUUGUGAAGAAACUGCUAAGUUCUCUGGAUCCAUCAUUUGAUACACUGGUUGUGAUGAUUCAAGAAAGAGGAAACUAUAAGAUGCUUGAUCCCGCUGAUAUACUUGAAAGACUCAAUACUCAUGAAUUCCAACAGGAAGAAAAGAGAGAUCUGUAUGGACCAAGCUACUCAAGACCUCAUGCGCUGAAGGCUAAGCAAUUUCCUCAUCUGAAGAAGAAGAUUCAGAUUGCAACGUUGGUGAUCCUGAAGAACUUGGACAGGAGCUUGCAAUGCUCGUGAGGAAAUUCCAGAAGUUUACAAGGCGUGUCCAGUUUGGUAAAUCUUCAAGAAGAGAUAUGAGGAAAUCAGAAUCUUCAUAUGAGGACUACAAGAAAAGAACCUGGCACAAAUGCAAGAAAUCUGGUCACUACAUUGCUGAUUGUCCUCGCUGGGUGAAGGAAUCAAAGAAGAUGAAAUACAAGGAUGAAAGUUCUCAUGACUCGAACAAAAAGAAGAAAUCUUCAAAAUCCCCAUCCUCAGAGUCCUCAUUGCACAAGAAGACUAGUUUCAGAAAGGCUCGGGCACUCAUUGGCAAGGAAAUGGAUUCUGAGGAAGAAUCUGAGGAAUGUGAUGAAGAGGAAGGUUCUGAAGAAGACCCAAAGUCUGGUGUGGUAAGUCUUGCACUGGCUACCACAUUCGUCAGCAAGUCAAUCUUCAACCUUGAAGAAAAUAACAAUGCUAUCUACGUUGAUGACUAUGGUGAUGACUUUGCUCCAACCUAUUUAUUCAUGGCAAAAGGUUCAAAGCUAACAAAUGACACUUCCUCCUCUGACUCAAGUGAUUGUGAACCUGAUGAUUAUAAAAAACCCAGCUACAGUAAACUUGCCAACAUUGCAACUAAACAACAAAGUGCCAUUGAAAAGCUUCAAAAACCGCUAGACAUAAGCGAUGACAUGUUGAAUGAUGAAAUGAAUCGUACUCAAAUCCUCACUGAAGAUGUGAAAAGUCUUCAGUCUAGAUUUGAUAGUCUUCAAGAUCGUUAAGGCACAAUCUUGGUUGAUCAUGAGAAACUUUCCUAUGAAUUUCUUCUAAGGAAACUUGAUCUUGAGUAGUUGAAGAUGUCUCAUGACGAUCUUCGAAUGGAAAACGAUUCAUUGCUUGCUUAACAGAUCAGUGCCGCUCAGGUUGAAUUCACUCCACCAUGUAUCAAAUGCAUCGAGCGUGAAACUACCAAUUCUUCACCAGAAUCAUCAAAUGCUUUUAUCACUGCAAAUUCCUCAACUGCUCCUGUGGUAUCAAAUUCCUCACUUGAGGAAACCACAAAUGUUACUGACGAAAAUGCAGGGCUGAAGGAAUCUGGGUCCCCAAAAGUUCCUUGGAAAAUCUUCACGUGAAUGUCCUCAUGACACCACCUAUGAAGAACCUGAACCCCAGAUCAAAUUCCUCAGGUGGACCAAAGUCUUCAAGAGGAUCAAAAUCCUCAACUGGUCAAAACUAUGCUCGUACUCGUGCUAAUGCUUCUGAUAUGCAUGGAAAUUACAAGGGAUAUGAAUAUGAGCAUUAUACCUCAAAUCAUUAUGUUCAUAAAUCCUCAAAGAACUUCUCUGCCUAUUCAUUUGAGUACUCUACCCCCCCCCCCUCUGUGAAGAGAAGUGCAUUAGCUUCAAUGUCCCCUUUCUCAUAUGGUGCUCGCAUGAUGAUGAACUCUUUGCCACCCCUUGAGAUGUGGGUGGUGAAGAAAUUGAACUAAUCACUUCUCCAGGUCAGGUCUCUAGAUGAAAAUCAUCAUCUGAAGAAAUUGUUGGAGACCUGAGGAAAAUGCUUGAUUGGACGCAAGCUAAAAUUGAUGAAAUGAUAACAUUUCACACGUCCUCAAA
rnacentral:lncRNA from 1 species